GGCCCGCCCAUAGCUCCUUCGACGGCGCCGCCUAGGAACGCGGAGAAAAUAUGACAAAGGAACGGCCAAAAAUAAAAAGAAAGACCUUUCUUUUGAAAAAACAAACAAAAAAAAGAAAUGCAACACGAGGACUUCCCAGGAGGUCACCCAUCCUAGUACUACUCUCGCCCAAGCAUGCUUAACUUCGGAGUUCUGAUGGGAUCCGGUGCUUUAGUGUUGGUAUGAUCGCAUCCGACAUACCGUGCGUUCUCCUCCCCUUUAUGCCCGCGCCUCCGUGUACGGCCCGCCCAUAGCUCCUUCGACGGCGCCGCCUAGGAACGCGGAGAAAAUAUGACAAAGGAACGGCCAAAAAUAAAAAGAAAGACCUUUCUUUUGAAAAAACAAACAAAAAAAAGGAAUGCAACACGAGGACUUCCCAGGAGGUCACCCAUCCUAGUACUACUCUCGCCCAAGCACGCUUAACUUCGGAGUUCUGAUGGGAUCCGGUGCUUUAGUGCUGGUAUGAUCGCAUCCGACAUACCGUGCGUUCUCCUCCCCUUUAUGCCCGCGCCUCCGUGUACGGCCCGCCCAUAGCUCCUUCGACGGCGCCGCCUAGGAACGCGGAGAAAAUAUGACAAAGGAACGGCCAAAAAUAAAAAGAAAGACCUUUCUUUUGAAAAAACAAACAAAAAAAAGGAAUGCAACACGAGGACUUCCCAGGAGGUCACCCAUCCUAGUACUACUCUCGCCCAAGCACGCUUAACUUCGGAGUUCUGAUGGGAUCCGGUGCUUUAGUGCUGGUAUGAUCGCAUCCGACAUACCGUGCGUUCUCCUCCCCUUUAUGCCCGCGCCUCCGUGUACGGCCCGCCCAUAGCUCCUUCGACGGCGCCGCCUAGGAACGCGGAGAAAAUAUGACAAAGGAACGGCCAAAAAUAAAAAGAAAGACCUUUCUUUUGAAAAAACAAACAAAUAAAAGGAAUGCAACACGAGGACUUCCCAGGAGGUCACCCAUCCUAGUACUACUCUCGCCCAAGCACGCUUAACUUCAGAGUUCUGAUGGGAUCCGGUGCUUUAGUGCUGGUAUGAUCGCAUCCGACAUACCGUGCGUUCUCCUCCCCUUUAUGCCCGCGCCUCCGUGUACGGCCCGCCCAUAGCUCCUUCGACGGCGCCGCCUAGGAACGCGGAGAAAAUAUGACAAAGGAACGGCCAAAAAUAAAAAGAAAGACCUUUCUUUUGAAAAAACAAACAAAUAAAAGGAAUGCAACACGAGGACUUCCCAGGAGGUCACCCAUCCUAGUACUACUCUCGCCCAAGCACGCUUAACUUCGGAGUUCUGAUGAGAUCCGGUGCUUUAGUGCUGGUAUGAUCGCAUUCGACAUACCGUGCGUUCUCCUCCCCUUUAUGCCCGCGCCUCCAUGUACGGCCCGCCCAUAGCUCCUUCGACGGCGCCGCCUAGGAACGCGGAGAAAAUAUGACAAAGGAACGGCCACGAAUAAAAAGAGAGACCUUUCUUUUGAAAAAACAAACGCCUCCGUGUACGGCCCGCCCAUAGCUCCUUCGACGGCGCCGCCUAGGAACGCGGAGAAAAUAUGACAAAGGAACGGCCAAAAAUAAAAAGAAAGACCUUUCUUUUGAAAAAACAAACAAAAAAAAGGAAUGCAACACGAGGACUUCCCAGGAGGUCACCCAUCCUAGUACUACUCUCGCCCAAGCACGCUUAACUUCGGAGUUCUGAUGGGAUCCGGUGCUUUAGUGCUGGUAUGAUCGCAUCCGACAUACCGUGCGUUCUCCUCCCCUUUAUGCCCGCGCCUCCGUGUACGGCCCGCCCAUAGCUCCUUCGACGGCGCCGCCUAGGAACGCGGAGAAAAUAUGACAAAGGAACGGCCAAAAAUAAAAAGAAAGACCUUUCUUUUGAAAAAACAAACAAAUAAAAGGAAUGCAACACGAGGACUUCCCAGGAGGUCACCCAUCCUAGUACUACUCUCGCCCAAGCACGCUUAACUUCGGAGUUCUGAUGGGAUCCGGUGCUUUAGUGCUGGUAUGAUCGCAUCCGACAUACCGUGCGUUCUCCUCCCCUUUAUGCCCGCGCCUCCGUGUACGGCCCGCCCAUAGCUCCUUCGACGGCGCCGCCUAGGAACGCGGAGAAAAUAUGACAAAGGAACGGCCAAAAAUAAAAAGAAAGACCUUUCUUUUGAAAAAACAAACAAAAAAAAGGAAUGCAACACGAGGACUUCCCAGGAGGUCACCCAUCCUAGUACUACUCUCGCCCAAGCACGCUUAACUUCGGAGUUCUGAUGGGAUCCGGUGCUUUAAUGCUGGUAUGAUCGCAUCCGACAUACCGUGCGUUCUCCUCCCCUUUAUGCCCGCGCCUCCGUGUACGGCCCGCCCAUAGCUCCUUCGACGGCGCCGCCUAGGAACGCGGAGAAAAUAUGACAAAGGAACGGCCAAAAAUAAAAAGAAAGACCUUUCUUUUGAAAAAACAAACAAAAAAAAGGAAUGCAACACGAGGACUUCCCAGGAGGUCACCCAUCCUAGUACUACUUUCGCCCAAGCACGCUUAACUUCGGAGUUCCGAUGGGAUCCGGUGCUUUAGUCCUGGUAUGAUCGCAUCCGACAUACCGUGCGUUCUCCUCCCCUUGAGGCCCGCGCCUCCGUGUACGGCCCGCCCAUAGCUCCUUCGACGGCGCCGCCUAGGAACGCGGAGAAAAUAUGACAAAGGAACGGCCCACAACUAGAAAGAAAGACCUUUCUUUUGAAAAGACAGACAAACAAAAGGAAUGCAACACGAGGACUUCCCAGGAGGUCACCCAUCCUAGUACUACUCUCGCCCAAGCACGCUUAACUUCGGAGUUCUGAUGGGAUCCGGUGCUUUAGUGCUGGUAUGAUCGCAUCCGACAUACCGUGCGUUCUCCUCCCCUUUAUGCCCGCGCCUCCGUGUACGGCCCGCCCAUAGCUCCUUCGACGGCGCCGCCUAGGAACGCGGAGAAAAUAUGACAAAGGAACGGCCAAAAAUAAAAAGAAAGACCUUUCUUUUGAAAAAACAAACAAAUAAAAGGAAUGCAACACGAGGACUUCCCAGGAGGUCACCCAUCCUAGUACUACUCUCGCCCAAGCACGCUUAACUUCGGAGUUCUGAUGGGAUCCGGUGCUUUAGUGCUGGUAUGAUCGCAUCCGACAUACCGUGCGUUCUCCUCCCCUUUAUGCCCGCGCCUCCGUGUACGGCCCGCCCAUAGCUCCUUCGACGGCGCCGCCUAGGAACGCGGAGAAAAUAUGACAAAGGAACGGCCAAAAAUAAAAAGAAAGACCUUUCAUUUUGAAAAAACAAACAAAAAAAAGGAAUGCAACACGAGGACUUCCCAGGAGGUCACCCAUCCUAGUACUACUCUCGCCCAAGCACGCUUAACUUCGGAGUUCUGAUGGGAUCCGGUGCUUUAGUGCUGGUAUGAUCGCAUCCGACAUACCGUGCGUUCUCCUCCCCUUUAUGCCCGCGCCUCCGUGUACGGCCCGCCCAUAGCUCCUUCGACGGCAGCCGCCUAGGAACGCGGAGAAUAUAUGACAAAGGAACGGCCAAAAAUAAAAAGAAAGACCUUUCUUAUGAAAAAACAGACAUACCCAAGGAAUGCAACACGAGGACUUCCCAGGUGCCCAAGCACGCUUAACUUCGGAGUUCUGAUGGGAUCCGGUGCUUUAGUGCUGGUAUGAUCGCAUCCGACAUACCGUGCGUUCUCCUCCCCUUUAUGCCCGCGCCUCCGUGUACGGCCCGCCCAUAGCUCCUUCGACGGCGCCGCCUAGGAACGCGGAGAAAAUAUGACAAAGGAACGGCCAAAAAUAAAAAGAAAGACACUUUCUUUUGAAAAAACAAACAAAAAAAAGGAAUGCAACACGAGGACUUCCCAGGAGGUCACCCAUCCUAGUACUACUCUCGCCCAAGCACGCUUAACUUCGGAGUUCUGAUGGGAUCCGGUGCUUUAGUGCUGGUAUGAUCGCAUCCGACAUACCGUGCGUUCUCCUCCCCUUUAUGCCCGCGCCUCCGUGUACGGCCCGCCCAUAGCUCCUUCGACGGCGCCGCCUAGGAACGCGGAGAAAAUAUGACAAAGGAACGGCCAAAAACAAAAAGAAAGACCUUUCUUUUGAAAAAACAAACGCCUCCGUGUACGGCCCGCCCAUAGCUCCUUCGACGGCGCCGCCUAGGAACGCGGAGAAAAUAUGACAAAGGAACGGCCAAAAAUAAAAAGAAAGACCUUUCUUUUGAAAAAACAAACAAAAAAAAGGAAUGCAACACGAGGACUUCCCAGGAGGUCACCCAUCCUAGUACUACUCUCGCCCAAGCACGCUUAACUUCGGAGUUCUGAUGGGAUCCGGUGCUUUAGUGCUGGUAUGAUCGCAUCCGACAUACCGUGCGUUCUCCUCCCCUUUAUGCCCGCGCCUCCGUGUACGGCCCGCCCAUAGCUCCUUCGACGGCGCCGCCUAGGAACGCGGAGAAAAUAUGACAAAGGAACGGCCAAAAAUAAAAAGAAAGACCUUUCUUUUGAAAAAACAAACGCCUCCGUGUACGGCCCGCCCAUAGCUCCUUCGACGGCGCCGCCUAGGAACGCGGAGAAAAUAUGACAAAGGAACGGCCAAAAAUAAAAAGAAAGACCUUUCUUUUGAAAAAACAAACAAAAAAAAGGAAUGCAACACGAGGACUUCCCAGGAGGUCACCCAUCCUAGUACUACUCUCGCCCAAGCACGCUUAACUUCGGAGUUCUGAUGGGAUCCGGUGCUUUAGUGCUGGUAUGAUCGCAUCCGACAUACCGUGCGUUCUCCUCCCCUUUAUGCCCGCGCCUCCGUGUACGGCCCGCCCAUAGCUCCUUCGACGGCGCCGCCUAGGAACGCGGAGAAAAUAUGACAAAGGAACGGCCAAAAAUAAAAAGAAAGACCUUUCUUUUGAAAAAACAAACGCCUCCGUGUACGGCCCGCCCAUAGCUCCUUCGACGGCGCCGCCUAGGAACGCGGAGAAAAUAUGACAAAGGAACGGCCAAAAAUAAAAAGAAAGACCUUUCUUUUGAAAAAACAAACAAAAAAAAGGAAUGCAACACGAGGACUUCCCAGGAGGUCACCCAUCCUAGUACUACUCUCGCCCAAGCACGCUUAACUUCGGAGUUCUGAUGGGAUCCGGUGCUUUAGUGCUGGUAUGAUCGCAUCCGACAUACCGUGCGUUCUCCUCCCCUUUAUGCCCGCGCCUCCGUGUACGGCCCGCCCAUAGCUCCUUCGACGGCGCCGCCUAGGAACGCGGAGAAAAUAUGACAAAGGAACGGCCAAAAAUAAAAAGAAAGACCUUUCUUUUGAAAAAACAAACAAAUAAAAGGAAUGCAACACGAGGAGUUCCCAGGAGGUCACCCAUCCUAGUACUACUCUCGCCCAAGCACGCUUAACUUCGGAGUUCUGAUGGGAUCCGGUGCUUUAGUGCUGGUAUGAUCGCAUCCGACAUACCGUGCGUUCUCCUCCCCUUUAUGCCCGCGCCUCCGUGUACGGCCCGCCCAUAGCUCCUUCGACGGCGCCGCCUAGGAACGCGGAGAAAAUAUGACAAAGGAACGGCCAAAAAUAAAAAGAAAGACCUUUCUUUUGAAAAAACAAACAAAAAAAAGAAAUGCAACACGAGGACUUCCCAGGAGGUCACCCAUCCUAGUACUACUCUCGCCCAAGCACGCUUAACUUCGGAGUUCUGAUGGGAUCCGGUGCUUUAGUGCUGGUAUGAUCGCAUCCGACAUACCGUGCGUUCUCCUCCCCUUUAUGCCCGCGCCUCCGUGUACGGCCCGCCCAUAGCUCCUUCGACGGCGCCGCCUAGGAACGCGGAGAAAAUAUGACAAAGGAACGGCCAAAAAUAAAAAGAAAGACCUUUCUUUGAAAAAACAAACAAUUCACAGGAAUGCAACACGAGGACUUCCCACGAGGUCACCCAUCCUAGUACUACUCUCGCCCAAGCACGCUUAACUUCGGAGUUCUGAUGGGAUCCGGUGCUUUAGUGCUGGUAUGAUCGCAUCCGACAUACCGUGCGUUCUCCUCCCCUUUAUGCCCGCGCCUCCGUGUACGGCCCGCCCAUAGCUCCUUCGACGGCGCCGCCUAGGAACGCGGAGAAAAUAUGACAAAGGAACGGCCAAAAAUAAAAAGAAAGACCUUUCUUUUGAAAAAACAAACCAAAAAAAAGGAAUGCAACACGAGGACUUCCCAAGAGGUCACCCAUCCUAGUACUACUCUCGCCCAAGCACGCUUAACUUCGGAGUUCUGAUGGGAUCCGGUGCUUUAGUGCUGGUAUGAUCGCAUCCGACAUACCGUGCGUUCUCCUCCCCAUUAUGCCCGCGCCUCCGUGUACGGCCCGCCCAUAGCUCCUUUGACGGCGCCGCUUAGGAACGCGGAGAAAAUAUGACAAAGGAACGGCCAAAAAUAAAAAGAAAGACCUUUCUUUUGAAAAAACAAACAAAUAAAAGGAAUGCAACACGAGGACUUCCCAGGAGGUCACCCAUCCUAGUACUACUCUCGCCCAAGCACGCUUAACUUCGGAGUUCUGAUGGGAUCCGGUGCUUUAGUGCUGGUAUGAUCGCAUCCGACAUACCGUGCGUUCUCCUCCCCUUUAUGCCCGCGCCUCCGUGUACGGCCCGCCCAUAGCUCCUUCGACGGCGCCGCCUAGGAACGCGGAGAAAAUAUGACAAAGGAACGGCCAAAAACAAAAAGAAAGACCUUUCUUUUGAAAAAACAAACAAAAAAAAGGAAUGCAACACGAGGACUUCCCAGGAGGUCACCCAUCCUAGUACUACUCUCGCCCAAGCACGCUUAACUUCGGAGUUCUGAUGGGAUCCGGUGCUUUAGUGCUGGUAUGAUCGCAUCCGACAUACCGUGCGUUCUCCUCCCCUUUAUGCCCGCGCCUCCGUGUACGGCCCGCCCAUAGCUCCUUCGACGGCGCCGCCUAGGAACGCGGAGAAAAUAUGACAAAGGAACGGCCAAAAAUAAAAAGAAAGACCUUUCUUUUGAAAAAACAAACAAAUAAAAGGAAUGCAACACGAGGACUUCCCAGGAGGUCACCCAUCCUAGUACUACUCUCGCCCAAGCACGCUUAACUUCGGAGUUCUGAUGGGAUCCGGUGCUUUAGUGCUGGUAUGAUCGCAUCCGACAUACCGUGCGUUCUCCUCCCCUUUAUGCCCGCGCCUCCGUGUACGGCCCGCCCAUAGCUCCUUCGACGGCGCCGCCUAGGAACGCGGAGAAAAUAUGACAAAGGAACGGCCAAAAAUAAAAAGAAAGACCUUUCUUUUGAAAAAACAAACAAAUAAAAGGAAUGCAACACGAGGACUUCCCAGGAGAUCACCCAUCCUAGUACUACUCUCGCCCAAGCACGCUUAACUUCGGAGUUCUGAUGGGAUCCGGUGCUUUAGUGCUGGUAUGAUCGCAUCCGACAUACCGUGCGUUCUCCUCCCCUUUAUGCCCGCGCCUCCGUGUACGGCCCGCCCAUAGCUCCUUCGACGGCGCCGCCUAGGAACGCGGAGAAAAUAUGACAAAGGAACGGCCAAAAAUAAAAAGAAAGACCUUUCUUUUGAAAAAACAAACAAAAAAAAGGAAUGCAACACGAGGACUUCCCACGAGGUCACCCAUCCUAGUACUACUCUAGUACCAAGCACGCUUAACUUCGGAGUUCUGAUGGGAUCCGGUGCUUUAGUGCUGGUAUGAUCGCAUCCGACAUACCGUGCGUUCUCCUCCCCUUUAUGCCCGCGCCUCCGUGUACGGCCCGCCCAUAGCUCCUUCGACGGCGCCGCCUAGGAACGCGGAGAAAAUAUGACAAAGGAACGGCCAAAAAUAAAAAGAAAGACCUUUCUUUUGAAAAAACAAACAAAAAAAAGGAAUGCAACACGAGGACUUCCCAGGAGGUCACCCAUCCUAGUACUACUCUCGCCCAAGCACGCUUAACUUCGGAGUUCUGAUGGGAUCCGGUGCUUUAGUGCUGGUAUGAUCGCAUCCGACAUACCGUGCGUUCUCCUCCCCUUUAUGCCCGCGCCUCCGUGUACGGCCCGCCCAUAGCUCCUUCGACGGCGCCGCCUAGGAACGCGGAGAAAAUAUGACAAAGGAACGGCCAAAAAUAAAAAGAAAGACCUUUCUUUUGAAAAAACAAACAAAUAAAAGGAAUGCAACACGAGGACUUCCCAGGAGGUCACCCAUCCUAGUACUACUCUCGCCCAAGCACGCUUAACUUCGGAGUUCUGAUGGGAUCCGGUGCUUUAGUGCUGGUAUGAUCGCAUCCGACAUACCGUGCGUUCUCCUCCCCUUUAUGCCCGCGCCUCCGUGUACGGCCCGCCCAUAGCUCCUUCGACGGCGCCGCCUAGGAACGCGGAGAAAAUAUGACAAAGGAACGGCCAAAAAUAAAAAGAAAGACCUUUCUUUUGAAAAAACAAACAAAAAAAAGGAAUGCAACACGAGGACUUCCCAGGAGGUCACCCAUCCUAGUACUACUCUCGCCCAAGCACGCUUAACUUCGGAGUUCUGAUGGGAUCCGGUGCUUUAGUGCUGGUAUGAUCGCAUCCGACAUACCGUGCGUUCUCCUCCCCUUUAUGCCCGCGCCUCCGUGUACGGCCCGCCCAUAGCUCCUUCGACGGCGCCGCCUAGGAACGCGGAGAAAAUAUGACAAAGGAACGGCCAAAAAUAAAAAGAAAGACCUUUCUUUUGAAAAAACAAACAAAAAAAAGGAAUGCAACACGAGGACUUCCCAGGAGGUCACCCAUCCUAGUACUACUCUCGCCCAAGCACGCUUAACUUCGGAGUUCUGAUGGGAUCCGGUGCUUUAGUGCUGGUAUGAUCGCAUCCGACAUACCGUGCGUUCUCCUCCCCUUUAUGCCCGCGCCUCCGUGUACGGCCCGCCCAUAGCUCCUUCGACGGCGCCGCCUAGGAACGCGGAGAAAAUAUGACAAAGGAACGGCCAAAAAUAAAAAGAAAGACCUUUCUUUUGAAAAAACAAACAAAUAAAAGGAAUGCAACACAAGGACUUCCCAGGAGGUCACCCAUCCUAGUACUACUCUCGCCCAAGCACGCUUAACUUCGGAGUUCUGAUGGGAUCCGGUGCUUUAGUGCUGGUAUGAUCGCAUCCGACAUACCGUGCGUUCUCCUCCCCUUUAUGCCCGCGCCUCCGUGUACGGCCCGCCCAUAGCUCCUUCGACGGCGCCGCCUAGGAACGCGGAGAAAAUAUGACAAAGGAACGGCCAAAAAUAAAAAGAAAGACCUUUCUUUUGAAAAAACAAACGCCUCCGUGUACGGCCCGCCCAUAGCUCCUUCGACGGCGCCGCCUAGGAACGCGGAGAAAAUAUGACAAAGGAACGGCCAAAAAUAAAAAGAAAGACCUUUCUUUUGAAAAAACAAACAAAAAAAAGGAAUGCAACACGAGGACUUCCCAGGAGGUCACCCAUCCUAGUACUACUCUCGCCCAAGCACGCUUAACUUCGGAGUUCUGAUGGGAUCCGGUGCUUUAGUGCUGGUAUGAUCGCAUCCGACAUACCGUGCGUUCUCCUCCCCUUUAUGCCCGCGCCUCCGUGUACGGCCCGCCCAUAGCUCCUUCGACGGCGCCGCCUAGGAACGCGGAGAAAAUAUGACAAAGGAACGGCCAAAAAUAAAAAGAAAGACCUUUCUUUUGAAAAAACAAACGCCUCCGUGUACGGCCCGCCCAUAGCUCCUUCGACGGCGCCGCCUAGGAACGCGGAGAAAAUAUGACAAAGGAACGGCCAAAAAUAAAAAGAAAGACCUUUCUUUUGAAAAAACAAACAAAAAAAAGGAAUGCAACACGAGGACUUCCCAGGAGGUCACCCAUCCUAGUACUACUCUCGCCCAAGCACGCUUAACUUCGGAGUUCUGAUGGGAUCCGGUGCUUUAGUGCUGGUAUGAUCGCAUCCGACAUACCGUGCGUUCUCCUCCCCUUUAUGCCCGCGCCUCCGUGUACGGCCCGCCCAUAGCUCCUUCGACGGCGCCGCCUAGGAACGCGGAGAAAAUAUGACAAAGGAACGGCCAAAAAUAAAAAGAAAGACCUUUCUUUUGAAAAAACAAACAAAUAAAAGGAAUGCAACACGAGGACUUCCCAGGAGGUCACCCAUCCUAGUACUACUCUCGCCCAAGCACGCUUAACUUCGGAGUUCUGAUGGGAUCCGGUGCUUUAGUGCUGGUAUGAUCGCAUCCGACAUACCGUGCGUUCUCCUCCCCUUUAUGCCCGCGCCUCCGUGUACGGCCCGCCCAUAGCUCCUUCGACGGCGCCGCCUAGGAACGCGGAGAAAAUAUGACAAAGGAACGGCCAAAAAUAAAAAGAAAGACCUUUCUUUUGAAAAAACAAACAAAAAAAAAGGAAUGCAACACGAGGACUUCCCAGGAGGUCACCCAUCCUAGUACUACUCUCGCCCAAGCACGCUUAACUUCGGAGUUCUGAUGGGAUCCGGUGCUUUAGUGCUGGUAUGAUCGCAUCCGACAUACCGUGCGUUCUCCUCCCCUUUAUGCCCGCGCCUCCGUGUACGGCCCGCCCAUAGCUCCUUCGACGGCGCCGCCUAGGAACGCGGAGAAAAUAUGACAAAGGAACGGCCAAAAAUAAAAAGAAAGACCUUUCUUUUGAAAAAACAAACAAAAAAAAGGAAUGCAACACGAGGACUUCCCAGGAGGUCACCCAUCCUAGUACUACUCUCGCCCAAGCACGCUUAACUUCGGAGUUCUGAUGGGAUCCGGUGCUUUAGUGCUGGUAUGAUCGCAUCCGACAUACCGUGCGUUCUCCUCCCCUUUAUGCCCGCGCCUCCGUGUACGGCCCGCCCAUAGCUCCUUCGACGGCGCCGCCUAGGAACGCGGAGAAAAUAUGACAAAGGAACGGCCAAAAAUAAAAAGAAAGACCUUUCUUUUGAAAAAACAAACAAAAAAAAGGAAUGCAACACGAGGACUUCCCAGGAGGUCACCCAUCCUAGUACUACUCUCGCCCAAGCACGCUUAACUUCGGAGUUCUGAUGGGAUCCGGUGCUCUAGUGCUGGUAUGAUCGCAUCCGACAUACCGUGCGUUCUCCUCCCCUUUAUGCCCGCGCCUCCGUGUACGGCCCGCCCAUAGCUCCUUCGACGGCGCCGCCUAGGAACGCGGAGAAAAUAUGACAAAGGAACGGCCAAAAAUAAAAAGAAAGACCUUUCUUUUGAAAAAACAAACAAAAAAAAAGGAAUGCAACACGAGGACUUCCCAGGAGGUCACCCAUCCUAGUACUACUCUCGCCCAAGCACGCUUAACUUCGGAGUUCUGAUGGGAUCCGGUGCUUUAGUGCUGGUAUGAUCGCAUCCGACAUACCGUGCGUUCUCCUCCCCUUUAUGCCCGCGCCUCCGUGUACGGCCCGCCCAUAGCUCCUUCGACGGCGCCGCCUAGGAACGCGGAGAAAAUAUGACAAAGGAACGGCCAAAAAUAAAAAGAAAGACCUUUCUUUUGAAAAAACAAACAAAUAAAAGGAAUGCAACACGAGGACUUCCUAGGAGGUCACCCAUCCUAGUACUACUCUCGCCCAAGCACGCUUAACUUCGGAGUUCUAAUGGGAUCCGGUGCUUUAGUGCUGGUAUGAUCGCAUCCGACAUACCGUGCGUUCUCCUCCCCUUUAUGCCCGCGCCUCCGUGUACGGCCCGCCCAUAGCUCCUUCGACGGCGCCGCCUAGGAACGCGGAGAAAAUAUGACAAAGGAACGGCCAAAAAUAAAAAGAAAGACCUUUCUUUUGAAAAAACAAACAAAAAAAAGGAAUGCAACACGAGGACUUCCCAGGAGGUCACCCAUCCUAGUACUACUCUCGCCCAAGCACGCUUAACUUCGGAGUUCUGAUGGGAUCCGGUGCUUUAGUGCUGGUAUGAUCGCAUCCGACAUACCGUGCGUUCUCCUCCCCUUUAUGCCCGCGCCUCCGUGUACGGCCCGCCCAUAGCUCCUUCGACGGCGCCGCCUAGGAACGCGGAGAAAAUAUGACAAAGGAACGGCCAAAAAUAAAAAGAAAGACCUUUCUUUUGAAAAAACAAACAAAAAAAAGGAAUGCAACACGAGGACUUCCCAGGAGGUCACCCAUCCUAGUACUACUCUCGCCCAAGCACGCUUAACUUCGGAGUUCUGAUGGGAUCCGGUGCUUUAGUGCUGGUAUGAUCGCAUCCGACAUACCGUGCGUUCUCCUCCCCUUUAUGCCCGCGCCUCCGUGUACGGCCCGCCCAUAGCUCCUUCGACGGCGCCGCCUAGGAACGCGGAGAAAAUAUGACAAAGGAACGGCCAAAAAUAAAAAGAAAGACCUUUCUUUUGAAAAAACAAACAAAAAAAAGGAAUGCAACACGAGGACUUCCCAGGAGGUCACCCAUCCUAGUACUACUCUCGCCCAAGCACGCUUAACUUCGGAGUUCUGAUGGGAUCCGGUGCUUUAGUGCUGGUAUGAUCGAAUCCGACAUACCGUGCGUUCUCCUCCCCUUUAUGCCCGCGCCUCCGUGUACGGUCCGCCCAUAGCUCCUUCGACGGCGCCGCCUAGGAACGCGGAGAAAAUAUGACAAAGGAACGGCCAAAAAUAAAAAGAAAGACCUUUCUUUUGAAAAAACAAACAAAUAAAAGGAAUGCAACACGAGGACUUCCCAGGAGGUCACCCAUCCUAGUACUACUCUCGCCCAAGCACGCUUAACUUCGGAGUUCUGAUGGGAUCCGGUGCUUUAGUGCUGGUAUGAUCGCAUCCGACAUACCGUGCGUUCUCCUCCCCUUUAUGCCCGCGCCUCCGUGUACGGCCCGCCCAUAGCUCCUUCGACGGCGCCGCCUAGGAACGCGGAGAAAAUAUGACAAAGGAACGGCCAAAAAUAAAAAGAAAGACCUUUCUUUUGAAAAAACAAACAAAUAAAAGGAAUGCAACACGAGGACUUCCCAGGAGGUCACCCAUCCUAGUACUACUCUCGCCCAAGCACGCUUAACUUCGGAGUUCUGAUGGGAUCCGGUGCUUUAGUGCUGGUAUGAUCGCAUCCGACAUACCGUGCGUUCUCCUCCCCUUUAUGCCCGCGCCUCCGUGUACGGCCCGCCCAUAGCUCCUUCGACGGCGCCGCCUAGGAACGCGGAGAAAAUAUGACAAAGGAACGGCCAAAAAUAAAAAGAAAGACCUUUCUUUUGAAAAAACAAACAAAAAAAAGGAAUGCAGCACCAGGACUUCCCGGAAGGUCACCCAUCCAAAUACAACUCUCGCCGAACCACGUUUAACUUCGAAUUUCUAAUGGAAUCCGGGGCUUUAGAGCUGGAAUGAUCGCAUCCGACAUACCGUGCGUUCUCCUCCCCUUUAUGCCCGCGCCUCCGUGUACGGCCCGCCCAUAGCUCCUUCGACGGCGCCGCCUAGGAACGCGGAGAAAAUAUGACAAAGGAGCGGCCAAAAAUAAAAAGAAAGACCUUUCUUUUGAAAAAACAAACAAAUAAAAGGAAUGCAACACGAGGACUUCCUAGGAGGUCACCCAUCCUAGUACUACUCUCGCCCAAGCACGCUUAACUUCGGAGUUCUGAUGGGAUCCGGUGCUUUAGUGCUGGUAUGAUCGCAUCCGACAUACCGUGCGUUCUCCUCCCCUUUAUGCCCGCGCCUCCGUGUACGGCCCGCCCAUAGCUCCUUCGACGGCGCCGCCUAGGAACGCGGAGAAAAUAUGACAAAGGAACGGCCAAAAAUAAAAAGAAAGACCUUUCUUUUGAAAAAACAAACGCCUCCGUGUACGGCCCGCCCAUAGCUCCUUCGACGGCGCCGCCUAGGAACGCGGAGAAAAUAUGACAAAGGAACGGCCAAAAAUAAAAAGAAAGACCUUUCUUUUGAAAAAACAAACAAAAAAAAGGAAUGCAACACGAGGACUUCCCAGGAGGUCACCCAUCCUAGUACUACUCUCGCCCAAGCACGCUUAACUUCGGAGUUCUGAUGGGAUCCGGUGCUUUAGUGCUGGUAUGAUCGCAUCCGACAUACCGUGCGUUCUCCUCCCCUUUAUGCCCGCGCCUCCGUGUACGGCCCGCCCAUAGCUCCUUCGACGGCGCCGCCUAGGAACGCGGAGAAAAUAUGACAAAGGAACGGCCAAAAAUAAAAAGAAAGACCUUUCUUUUGAAAAAACAAACAAAUAAAAGGAAUGCAACACGAGGACUUCCCAGGAGGUCACCCAUCCUAGUACUACUCUCGCCCAAGCACGCUUAACUUCGGAGUUCUGAUGGGAUCCGGUGCUUUAGUGCUGGUAUGAUCGCAUUCGACAUACCGAUGCGUUCUCAUCCCCGUUAUGCGCCGCGCCUCUGUGUACGGCCCGCCCAUAGCUCCUUUGACUGCGCCUCGUAGGAUCGCGGAGAAUAUAUGACAAAGGCACGGCCAAACAUAAAACGAAAGACCUCUCUUUUGCAACAACAAACAAAAUAAAGGAAUGCAACACGAGGACUUCCCAGGAGGUCACCCAUCCUAGUACUAGUCUCGCUCAAGCACGCUGAUCUUCGGAGUUCUGAUGGGAUCCGGUGCUUUAGUGCUGGUAUGAUCGCAUCCGACAUACCGUGCGUUCUCCUCCCCUUUAUGCCCGCGCCUCCGUGUACGGCCCGCCCAUAGCUCCUUCGACGGCGCCGCCUAGGAACGCGGAGAAAAUAUGACAAAGGAACGGCCAAAAAUAAAAAGAAAGACCUUUCUUUUGAAAAAACAAACAAAAAAAAGGAAUGCAACACGAGGACUUCCCAGGAGGUCACCCAUCCUAGUACUACUCUCGCCCAAGCACGCUUAACUUCGGAGUUCUGAUGGGAUCCGGUGCUUUAGUGCUGGUAUGAUCGCAUCCGACAUACCGUGCGUUCUCCUCCCCUUUAUGCCCGCGCCUCCGUGUACGGCCCGCCCAUAGCUCCUUCGACGGCGCCGCCUAGGAACGCGGAGAAAAUAUGACAAAGGAACGGCCAAAAAUAAAAAGAAAGACCUUUCUUUUGAAAAAACAAACAAAUAAAAGGAAUGCAACACGAGGACUUCCCAGGAGGUCACCCAUCCUAGUACUACUCUCGCCCAAGCACGCUUAACUUCGGAGUUCUGAUGGGAUCCGGUGCUUUAGUGCUGGUAUGAUCGCAUCCGACAUACCGUGCGUUCUCCUCCCCUUUAUGCCCGCGCCUCCGUGUACGGCCCGCCCAUAGCUCCUUCGACGAGCCCGCCUAGGAACGCGGAGAAAAUAUGACAAAGGAACGGCCAAAAAUAAAAAGAAAGACCUUUCUUUUGAAAAAACAAACAAAUAAAAGGAAUGCAACACGAGGACUUCCCAGGAGGUCACCCAUCCUAGUACUACUCUCGCCCAAGCACGCUUAACUUCGGAGUUCUGAUGGGAUCCGGUGCUUUAGUGCUGGUAUGAUCGCAUCCGACAUACCGUGCGUUCUCCUCCCCUUUAUGCCCGCGCCUCCGUGUACGGCCCGCCCAUAGCUCCUUCGACGGCGCCGCCUAGGAACGCGGAGAAAAUAUGACAAAGGAACGGCCAAAAAUAAAAAGAAAGACCUUUCUUUUGAAAAAACAAACAAAAAAAAGGAAUGCAACACGAGGACUUCCCAGGAGGUCACCCAUCCUAGUACUACUCUCGCCCAAGCACGCUUAACUUCGGAGUUCUGAUGGGAUCCGGUGCUUUAGUGCUGGUAUGAUCGCAUCCGACAUACCGUGCGUUCUCCUCCCCUUUAUGCCCGCGCCUCCGUGUACGGCCCGCCCAUAGCUCCUUCGACGGCGCCGCCUAGGAACGCGGAGAAAAUAUGACAAAGGAACGGCCAAAAAUAAAAAGAAAGACCUUUCUUUUGAAAAAACAAACAAAUAAAAGGAAUGCAACACGAGGACUUCCCAGGAGGUCACCCAUCCUAGUACUACUCUCGCCCAAGCACGCUUAACUUCGGAGUUCUGAUGGGAUCCGGUGCUUUAGUGCUGGUAUGAUCGCAUCCGACAUACCGUGCGUUCUCCUCCCCUUUAUGCCCGCGCCUCCGUGUACGGCCCGCCCAUAGCUCCUUCGACGGCGCCGCCUAGGAACGCGGAGAAAAUAUGACAAAGGAACGGCCAAAAAUAAAAAGAAAGACCUUUCUUUUGAAAAAACAAACAAAUAAAAGGAAUGCAACACGAGGACUUCCCAGGAGGUCACCCAUCCUAGUACUACUCUCGCCCAAGCACGCUUAACUUCGGAGUUCUGAUGGGAUCCGGUGCUUUAGUGCUGGUAUGAUCGCAUCCGACAUACCGUGCGUUCUCCUCCCCUUUAUGCCCGCGCCUCCGUGUACGGUCCGCCCAUAGCUCUUUAGUUGGCGCCUCCUAGGAACGCGGAGAAAAUAUGACAAAGGAACGGCCAAAAAUAAAAAGAAAGACCUUUCUUUUGAAAAAACAAACGCCUCCGUGUACGGCCCGCCCAUAGCUCCUUCGACGGCGCCGCCUAGGAACGCGGAGAAAAUAUGACAAAGGAACGGCCAAAAAUAAAAAGAAAGACCUUUCUUUUGAAAAAACAAACAAAAAAAAGGAAUGCAACACGAGGACUUCCCAGGAGGUCACCCAUCCUAGUACUACUCUCGCCCAAGCACGCUUAACUUCGGAGUUCUGAUGGGAUCCGGUGCUUUAGUGCUGGUAUGAUCGCAUCCGACAUACCGUGCGUUCUCCUCCCCUUUAUGCCCGCGCCUCCGUGUACGGCCCGCCCAUAGCUCCUUCGACGGCGCCGCCUAGGAACGCGGAGAAAAUAUGACAAAGGAACGGCCAAAAAUAAAAAGAAAGACCUUUCUUUUGAAAAAACAAACAAAUAAAAGGAAUGCAACACGAGGAGUUCCCAGGAGGUCACCCAUCCUAGUACUACUCUCGCCCAAGCACGCUUAACUUCGGAGUUCUGAUGGGAUCCGGUGCUUUAGUGCUGGUAUGAUCGCAUCCGACAUACCGUGCGUUCUCCUCCCCUUUAUGCCCGCGCCUCCGUGUACGGCCCGCCCAUAGCUCCUUCGAUGGCGCCGCCUAGGAACGCGGAGAAAAUAUGACAAAGGAACGGCCAAAAAUAAAAAGAAAGACCUUUCUUUUGAAAAAACAAACGCCUCCGUGUACGGCCCGCCCAUAGCUCCUUCGACGGCGCCGCCUAGGAACGCGGAGAAAAUAUGACAAAGGAACGGCCAAAAAUAAAAAGAAAGACCUUUCUUUUGAAAAAACAAACAAAAAAAAGGAAUGCAACACGAGGACUUCCCAGGAGGUCACCCAUCCUAGUACUACUCUCGCCCAAGCACGCUUAACUUCGGAGUUCGGAUGGGAUCCGGUGCUUUAGUGCUGGUAUGAUCGCAUCCGACAUACCGUGCGUUCUCCUCCCCUUUAUGCCCGCGCCUCCGUGUACGGCCCGCCCAUAGCUCCUUCGACGGCGCCGCCUAGGAACGCGGAGAAAAUAUGACAAAGGAACGGCCAAAAAUAAAAAGAAAGACCUUUCUUUUGAAAAAACAAACAAAUAAAAGGAAUGCAACACGAGGACUUCCCAGGAGGUCACCCAUCCUAGUACUACUCUCGCCCAAGCACGCUUAACUUCGGAGUUCUGAUGGGAUCCGGUGCUUUAGUGCUGGUAUGAUCGCAUCCGACAUACCGUGCGUUCUCCUCCCCUUUAUGCCCGCGCCUCCGUGUACGGCCCGCCCAUAGCUCCUUCGACGGCGCCGCCUAGGAACGCGGAGAAAAUAUGACAAAGGAACGGCCAAAAAUAAAAAGAAAGACCUUUCUUUUGAAAAAACAAACAAAAAAAAGGAAUGCAACACGAGGACUUCCCAGGAGGUCACCCAUCCUAGUACUACUCUCGCCCAAGCACGCUUAACUUCGCAGUUCUGAUGGGAUCCGGUGCUUUAGUGCUGGUAUGAUCGCAUCCGACAUACCGUGCGUUCUCCUCCCCUUUAUGCCCGCGCCUCCGUGUACGGCCCGCCCAUAGCUCCUUCGACGGCGCCGCCUAGGAACGCGGAGAAAAUAUGACAAAGGAACGGCCAAAAAUAAAAAGAAAGACCUUUCUUUUGAAAAAACAAACGGCUCCGUGUACGGCCCGCCCAUAGCUCCUUCGACGGCGCCGCCUAGGAACGCGGAGAAAAUAUGACAAAGGAACGGCCAAAAAUAAAAAGAAAGACCUUUCUUUUGAAAAAACAAACAAAAAAAAGGAAUGCAACACGAGGACUUCCCAGGAGGUCACCCAUCCUAGUACUACUCUCGCCCAAGCACGCUUAACUUCGGAGUUCUGAUGGGAUCCGGUGCUUUAGUGCUGGUAUGAUCGCAUCCGACAUACCGUGCGUUCUCCUCCCCUUUAUGCCCGCGCCUCCGUGUACGGCCCGCCCAUAGCUCCUUCGACGGCGCCGCCUAGGAACGCGGAGAAAAUAUGACAAAGGAACGGCCAAAAAUAAAAAGAAAGACCUUUCUUUUGAAAAAACAAACAAAUAAAAGGAAUGCAACACGAGGACUUCCCAGGAGGUCACCCAUCCUAGUACUACUCUCGCCCAAGCACGCUUAACUUCGGAGUUCUGAUGGGAUCCGGUGCUUUAGUGCUGGUAUGAUCGCAUCCGACAUACCGUGUGUCGACGAAAGCUGGUCGGCAGUCUACCUUGGGGUAUACCCACGGUAGUAGUUUAUCGGUAGACGGUGCGCAAACUACGAACUCGAUGGUGACGCAAGACACGGACAAGCUUUUUAUCCAGGUUCGGCCGCCGAGUUGGCGUAAUACCUACGUCCUGCGUCUGGUUGUAUUGGAUUGUGUUUAGAGAUAAUCUACCCUAGGGGGUCCCCUUGCCCCUCCUUAUAUAGUCUGGAGGGCAGGGUUACAGAUCUAGAAACUAAUCCUAGCCGGUUACAAUUGCCAUAGAUAAUUCGAUAUCAAUUCCUAUUCUAACCGACUAGAAUCCUGCUUGAUCUCCACGUCCUGUUUCCUUGCGCGAAACUCGGGCUAUCGGAUCAAGCCUUGAACUCGUCUCGUAGUGGGCCAAGCUUCCUAGCUGAAGUCUAGCCGUAAGGGUAUAGGGGUUUAUACCCCCACAGCUAGUCCCCGAGCGCCAUGUAUUGUGACGCAACACUCCGUCUUGAGCUUCUUCGAUCAGCGUGGUCUGUCGUCUUCAAUGAGCGGGGAAAUCGCCCAAACGGUUCAUUGAUCAACGUUGUCAUCGAAGAAGCAGGUUGUUCGAAGAAUGCAUGGUGCUCUAAAAAAAAUUUCUUUCCUGGUGAAGUGUGCCCACUUUGCCUUUCUGAAAGGUAGAAGCAACAAAAAAGCAAGCAAAUUCACCGCUAGGUGAAGUGUGCCCACUUAGUCCCCGAGCCUGGUAGUAGGUGUCGUAGGCACGUGGUGCCAGGGUCAAAAGAAAAUUCCCCAAAGUAGUUUUGGGACUGAGAUGCAUCGUACCGAUGUAGUCCCCGAGCUUGCUGGAAGGCGAAGUAUGAGCCUUGUAGCAAGGUCUAAAAAAUUGAAUUUACCAGUCCCCGAGCAUGUCAUGCUCGUCUGCAAUCGAAAAGACCAAUCGACCAGUCCCCAGGCACUUAGUGUGCUGCCUGGAAUUACAUGUUACUAUACUGUACGACCAGUCCCCGAGCAUCGAGUGCUCAGUGGUCGGUGCAUGCUUUAAAGCUUUGAGCUGAUAGACUGAGCGACCAGUCCCCGAGCGUCGAGUGCUCGGUGGUCGGUGAAGUCUUUGAAGUUCCGAGCUGAUAAACUGGGCGACCAGUCCCCGAGCGUCGAGUGCUCGGUGGUCGGUGCAGUCUUUGAAGUUCCGAGCUAAUAAACUGGGCGACCAGUCCCCGAGCGUCGAGUGCUCGGUGGUCGGUGCAGUCUUUGAAGUUCCGAGCUAAUAAACUGGGCGACCAGUCCCCGAGCGUCGAGUGCUCGGUGGUCGGUGCAGUCCCCGGAUUGCUGACUCACUGGCGUAUGUGUCUUCUUACUUUUGAAAAGGUCUUUCAAAUUUAAAGUUGACGUGACGGGGUCUCCUGACGAUAUGUCAGACGGAUGCAUGAAAAGCUGUGCCUGGCAACUGUACAACCGCUCUUUGCNNNNNNNNNNNNNNNNNNNNNNNNNNNNNNNNNNNNNNNNNNNNNNNNNNNNNNNNNNNNNNNNNNNNNNNNNNNNNNNNNNNNNNNNNNNNNNNNNNNNCGUUCUCCUCCCCUUUAUGCCCGCGCCUCCGUGUCCGUAAAGGGCAUAGCUCCUUCGACGGCGCCGCCGUAGGAACGCUGAGAAGAUAUGACAAAGGAACGGCCAAAAAUAAAAAGAAAGACCUUUCUUUUGAAAAAACAAACAAAAAAAAGGAAUGCAACACGAGGACUUCCCAGGAGGUCACCCAUCCUAGUACUACUCUCGCCCAAGCACGCUUAACUUCGGAGUUCUGAUGGGAUCCGGUGCUUUAGUGCUGGUAUGAUCGCAUCCGACAUACCGUGCGUUCUCCUCCCCUUUAUGCCCGCGCCUCCGUGUACGGCCGGCCCAUAGCUCCUUCGACGGCGCCGCCUAGGAACGCGGAGAAAAUAUGACAAAGGAAUUUUUUUAAAUAAAAAGAAAGACCUUUCUUUUGAAAAAACAAACGAAAAAAAGGAAUGCAACACGAGGACUUCCCAGGAGGUCACCCAUCCUAGUACUACUCUCGCCCAAGCACGCUUAACUUCGGAGUUCUGAUGGGAUCCGGUGCUUUAGUGCUGGUAUGAUCGCAUCCGACAUACCGUGCGUUCUCCUCCCCUUUAUGCCCGCGCCUCCGUGUACGGCCCGCCCAUAGCUCCUUCGACGGCGCCGCCUAAGAACGCGGAAAAAAUAUGACAAAGGAACGGCCAAAAAUAAAAAAAAAAAACCUUUCUUUUGAAAAAANNNNNNNNNNNNNNNNNNNNNNNNNNNNNNNNNNNNNNNNNNNNNNNNNNNNNNNNNNNNNNNNNNNNNNNNNNNNNNNNNNNNNNNNNNNNNNNNNNNNAAAAGGAAUGCAACACGAGGACUUCCCAGGAGGUCACCCAUCCUAGUACUACUCUCGCCCAAGCACGCUUAACUUCGGAGUUCUGAUGGGAUCCGGUGCUUUAGUGCUGGUAUGAUCGCAUCCGACAUACCGUGCGUUCUCCUCCCCUUUAUGCCCGCGCCUCCGUGUUACGGCCCGCCCAUAGCUCCUUCGACGGCGCCGCCUAGGAACGCGGAGAAAAUAUGACAAAGGAACGGCCAAAAAUCAAAAGAAAGACCUUUCUUUUGAAAAAACACACGCCUCCGUGUACGGCCCGCCCAUAGCUCCUUCGACGGCGCCGCCUAGGAACGCGGAGAAAAUAUGACAAAGGAACGGCCAAAAAUAAAAAGAAAGACCUUUCUUUUGAAAAAACAAACAAAUAAAAGGAAUGCAACACGAGGACUUCCCAGGAGGUCACCCAUCCUAGUACUACUCUCGCCCAAGCACGCUUAACUUCGGAGUUCUGAUGGGAUCCGGUGCUUUAGUGCUGGUAUGAUCGCAUCCGACAUACCGUGCGUUCUCCUCCCCUUUAUGCCCGCGCCUCCGUGUACGGCCCGCCCAUAGCUCCUUCGACGGCGCCGCCUAGGAACGCGGAGAAAAUAUGACAAAGGAACGGCCAAAAAUAAAAAGAAAGACCUUUCUUUUGAAAAAACAAACAAAUAAAAGGAAUGCAACACGAGGACUUCCCAGGAGGUCACCCAUCCUAGUACUACUCUCGCCCAAGCACGCUUAACUUCGGAGUUCUGAUGGGAUCCGGUGCUUUAGUGCUGGUAUGAUCGCAUCCGACAUACCGUGCGUUCUCCUCCCCUUUAUGCCCGCGCCUCCGUGUACGGCCCGCCCAUAGCUCCUUCGACGGCGCCGCCUAGGAACGCGGAGAAAAUAUGACAAAGGAACGGCCAAAAAUAAAAAGAAAGACCUUUCUUUUGAAAAAACAAACGCCUCCGUGUACGGCCCGCCCAUAGCUCCUUCGACGGCGCCGCCUAGGAACGCGGAGAAAAUAUGACAAAGGAACGGCCAAAAAUAAAAAGAAAGACCUUUCUUUUGAAAAAACAAACAAAAAAAAGGAAUGCAACACGAGGACUUCCCAGGAGGUCACCCAUCCUAGUACUACUCUCGCCCAAGCACGCUUAACUUCGGAGUUCUGAUGGGAUCCGGUGCUUUAGUGCUGGUAUGAUCGCAUCCGACAUACCGUGCGUUCUCCUCCCCUUUAUGCCCGCGCCUCCGUGUACGGCCCGCCCAUAGCUCCUUCGACGGCGCCGCCUAGGAACGCGGAGAAAAUAUGACAAAGGAACGGCCAAAAAUAAAAAGAAAGACCUUUCUUUUGAAAAAACAAACAAAUAAAAGGAAUGCAACACGAGGACUUCCCAGGAGGUCACCCAUCCUAGUACUACUCUCGCCCAAGCACGCUUAACUUCGGAGUUCUGAUGGGAUCCGGUGCUUUAGUGCUGGUAUGAUCGCAUCCGACAUACCGUGCGUUCUCCUCCCCUUUAUGCCCGCGCCUCCGUGUACGGCCCGCCCAUAGCUCCUUCGACGGCGCCGCCUAGGAACGCGGAGAAAAUAUGACAAAGGAACGGCCAAAAAUAAAAAGAAAGACCUUUCUUUUGAAAAAACAAACGCCUCCGUGUACGGCCCGCCCAUAGCUCCUUCGACGGCGCCGCCUAGGAACGCGGAGAAAAUAUGACAAAGGAACGGCCAAAAAUAAAAAGAAAGACCUUUCUUUUGAAAAAACAAACAAAAAAAAGGAAUGCAACACGAGGACUUCCCAGGAGGUCACCCAUCCUAGUACUACUCUCGCCCAAGCACGCUUAACUUCGGAGUUCUGAUGGGAUCCGGUGCUUUAGUGCUGGUAUGAUCGCAUCCGACAUACCGUGCGUUCUCCUCCCCUUUAUGCCCGCGCCUCCGUGUACGGCCCGCCCAUAGCUCCUUCGACGGCGCCGCCUAGGAACGCGGAGAAAAUAUGACAAAGGAACGGCCAAAAAUAAAAAGAAAGACCUUUCUUUUGAAAAAACAAACAAAUAAAAGGAAUGCAACACGAGGACUUCCCAGGAGGUCACCCAUCCUAGUACUACUCUCGCCCAAGCACGCUUAACUUCGGAGUUCUGAUGGGAUCCGGUGCUUUAGUGCUGGUAUGAUCGCAUCCGACAUACCGUGCGUUCUCCUCCCCUUUAUGCCCGCGCCUCCGUGUACGGCCCGCCCAUAGCUCCUUCGACGGCGCCGCCUAGGAACGCGGAGAAAAUAUGACAAAGGAACGGCCAAAAAUAAAAAGAAAGACCUUUCUUUUGAAAAAACAAACAAAAAAAAGGAAUGCAACACGAGGACUUCCCAGGAGGUCACCCAUCCUAGUACUACUCUCGCCCAAGCACGCUUAACUUCGGAGUUCUGAUGGGAUCCGGUGCUUUAGUGCUGGUAUGAUCGCAUCCGACAUACCGUGCGUUCUCCUCCCCUUUAUGCCCGCGCCUCCGGGUACGGUCCUCCCAUAGCUCCGUCAACGGCCCGCCUAGGAACGCGGAGAAAAUAUGACAAAGGAACGGCCAAAAAUAAAAAGAAAGCCCUUUCUUUUGAAAAGACAACCGAAUAAAAGGAAUGCCACGCGAGGACUUCCCAGGAGGUCACCCAUCAUAGUACUACUCUCGCCCAAGCACGCUUAACUUCGGAGUUCUGAUGGGAUCCGGUGCUUUAGUGCUGGUAUGAUCGCAUCCGACAUACCGCGCGUUCUCCUCCCCUUAAGGCCCGCGCCUCCGUGUACGGCCCGCCCAUAGCUCCUUAGACGGCACCUCCUAGGAACGCGGAGAAAAUAUGACAAAGGAACGGCCAAAAAUAAAAAGAAAGACCUUUCUUUUGAAAAAACAAACGCCUCCGUGUACGGCCCGCCCAUAGCUCCUUCGACGGCGCCGCCUAGGAACGCGGAGAAAAUAUGACAAAGGAACGGCCAAAAAUAAAAAGAAAGACCUUUCUUUUGAAAAAACAAACAAAAAAAAGGAAUGCAACACGAGGACUUCCCAGGAGGUCACCCAUCCUAGUACUACUCUCGCCCAAGCACGCUUAACUUCGGAGUUCUGAUGGGAUCCGGUGCUUUAGUGCUGGUAUGAUCGCAUCCGACAUACCGUGCGUUCUCCUCCCCUUUAUGCCCGCGCCUCCGUGUACGGCCCGCCCAUAGCUCCUUCGACGGCGCCGCCUAGGAACGCGGAGAAAAUAUGACAAAGGAACGGCCAAAAAUAAAAAGAAAGACCUUUCUUUUGAAAAAACAAACGCCUCCGCGUACGGCCCGCCCAUAGCUCCUUCGACGGCGCCGCCUAGGAACGCGGAGAAAAUAUGACAAAGGAACGGCCAAAAAUAAAAAGAAAGACCUUUCUUUUGAAAAAACAAACAAAAAAAAGGAAUGCAACACGAGGACUUCCCAGGAGGUCACCCAUCCUAGUACUACUCUCGCCCAAGCACGCUUAACUUCGGAGUUCUGAUGGGAUCCGGUGCUUUAGUGCUGGUAUGAUCGCAUCCGACAUACCGUGCGUUCUCCUCCCCUUUAUGCCCGCGCCUCCGUGUACGGCCCGCCCAUAGCUCCUUCGACGGCGCCGCCUAGGAACGCGGAGAAAAUAUGACAAAGGAACGGCCAAAAAUAAAAAGAAAGACCUUUCUUUUGAAAAAACAAACAAAUAAAAGGAAUGCAACACGAGGACUUCCCAGGAGGUCACCCAUCCUAGUACUACUCUCGCCCAAGCACGCUUAACUUCGGAGUUCUGAUGGGAUCCGGUGCUUUAGUGCUGGUAUGAUCGCAUCCGACAUACCGUGCGUUCUCCUCCCCUUUAUGCCCGCGCCUCCGUGUACGGCCCGCCCAUAGCUCCUUCGACGGCGCCGCCUAGGAACGCGGAGAAAAUAUGACAAAGGAACGGCCAAAAAUAAAAAGAAAGACCUUUCUUUUGAAAAAACAAACAAAUAAAAGGAAUGCAACACGAGGACUUCCCAGGAGGUCACCCAUCCUAGUACUACUCUCGCCCAAGCACGCUUAACUUCGGAGUUCUGAUGGGAUCCGGUGCUUUAGUGCUGGUAUGAUCGCAUCCGACAUACCGUGCGUUCUCCUCCCCUUUAUGCCCGCGCCUCCGUGUACGGCCCGCCCAUAGCUCCUUCGACGGCGCCGCCUAGGAACGCGGAGAAAAUAUGACAAAGGAACGGCCAAAAAUAAAAAGAAAGACCUUUCUUUUGAAAAAACAAACGCCUCCGUGUACGGCCCGCCCAUAGCUCCUUCGACGGCGCCGCCUAGGAACGCGGAGAAAAUAUGACAAAGGAACGGCCAAAAAUAAAAAGAAAGACCUUUCUUUUGAAAAAACAAACAAAAAAAAGGAAUGCAACACGAGGACUUCCCAGGAGGUCACCCAUCCUAGUACUACUCUCGCCCAAGCACGCUUAACUUCGGAGUUCUGAUGGGAUCCGGUGCUUUAGUGCUGGUAUGAUCGCAUCCGACAUACCGUGCGUUCUCCUCCCCUUUAUGCCCGCGCCUCCGUGUACGGCCCGCCCAUAGCUCCUUCGACGGCGCCGCCUAGGAACGCGGAGAAAAUAUGACAAAGGAACGGCCAAAAAUAAAAAGAAAGACCUUUCUUUUGAAAAAACAAACAAAUAAAAGGAAUGCAACACGAGGACUUCCCAGGAGGUCACCCAUCCUAGUACUACUCUCGCCCAAGCACGCUUAACUUCGGAGUUCUGAUGGGAUCCGGUGCUUUAGUGCUGGUAUGAUCGCAUCCGACAUACCGUGCGUUCUCCUCCCCUUUAUACCCGCGCCUCCGUGUACGGCCCGCCCAUAGCUCCUUCGACGGCGCCGCCUAGGAACGCGGAGAAAAUAUGACAAAGGAACGGCCAAAAAUAAAAAGAAAGACCUUUCUUUUGAAAAAACAAACAAAUAAAAGGAAUGCAACACGAGGACUUCCCAGGAGGUCACCCAUCCUAGUACUACUCUCGCCCAAGCACGCUUAACUUCGGAGUUCUGAUGGGAUCCGGUGCUUUAGUGCUGGUAUGAUCGCAUCCGACAUACCGUGCGUUCUCCUCCCCUUUAUGCCCGCGCCUCCGUGUACGGCCCGCCCAUAGCUCCUUCGACGGCGCCGCCUAGGAACGCGGAGAAAAUAUGACAAAGGAACGGCCAAAAAUAAAAAGAAAGACCUUUCUUUUGAAAAAACAAACGCCUCCGUGUACGGCCCGCCCAUAGCUCCUUCGACGGCGCCGCCUAGGAACGCGGAGAAAAUAUGACAAAGGAACGGCCAAAAAUAAAAAGAAAGACCUUUCUUUUGAAAAAACAAACAAAAAAAAGGAAUGCAACACGAGGACUUCCCAGGAGGUCACCCAUCCUAGUACUACUCUCGCCCAAGCACGCUUAACUUCGGAGUUCUGAUGGGAUCCGGUGCUUUAGUGCUGGUAUGAUCGCAUCCGACAUACCGUGCGUUCUCCUCCCCUUUAUACCCGCGCCUCCGUGUACGGCCCGCCCAUAGCUCCUUCGACGGCGCCGCCUAGGAACGCGGAGAAAAUAUGACAAAGGAACGGCCAAAAAUAAAAAGAAAGACCUUUCUUUUGAAAAAACAAGCAAAAAAAAGGAAUGCAACACGAGGACUUCCCAGGAGGUCACCCAUCCUAGUACUACUCUCGCCCAAGCACGCUUAACUUCGGAGUUCUGAUGGGAUCCGGUGCUUUAGUGCUGGUAUGAUCGCAUCCGACAUACCGUGCGUUCUCCUCCCCUUUAUGCCCGCGCCUCCGUGUACGGCCCGCCCAUAGCUCCUUCGACAGCGCCGCCUAGGAACGCGGAGAAAAUAUGACAAAGGAACGGCAAAAAAUAAAAAGAAAGACCUUUCUUUUGAAAAAACAAACAAAAAAAAGGAAUGCAACACGCGGACUUCCCAGGAGGUCACCCAUCCUAGUACUACUCUCGCCUAAGCACGCUUAACUUCGGAGUNNNNNNNNNNNNNNNNNNNNNNNNNNNNNNNNNNNNNNNNNNNNNNNNNNNNNNNNNNNNNNNNNNNNNNNNNNNNNNNNNNNNNNNNNNNNNNNNNNNNNNNNNNNNNNNNNNNNNNNNNNNNNNNNNNNNNNNNNNNNNNNNNNNNNNNNNNNNNNNNNNNNNNNNNNNNNNNNNNNNNNNNNNNNNNNNNNNNNNNNNNNNNNNNNNNNNNNNNNNNNNNNNNNNNNNNNNNNNNNNNNNNNNNNNNNNNNNNNNNNNNNNNNNNNNNNNNNNNNNNNNNNNNNNNNNNNNNNNNNNNNNNNNNNNNNNNNNNNNNNNNNNNNNNNNNNNNNNNNNNNNNNNNNNNNNNNNNNNNNNNNNNNNNNNNNNNNNNNNNNNNNNNNNNNNNNNNNNNNNNNNNNNNNNNNNNNNNNNNNNNNNNNNNNNNNNNNNNNNNNNNNNNNNNNNNNNNNNNNNNNNNNNNNNNNNNNNNNNNNNNNNNNNNNNNNNNNNNNNNNNNNNNNNNNNNNNNNNNNNNNNNNNNNNNNNNNNNNNNNNNNNNNNNNNNNNNNNNNNNNNNNNNNNNNNNNNNNNNNNNNNNNNNNNNNNNNNNNNNNNNNNNNNNNNNNNNNNNNNNNNNNNNNNNNNNNNNNNNNNNNNNNNNNNNNNNNNNNNNNNNNNNNNNNNNNNNNNNNNNNNNNNNNNNNNNNNNNNNNNNNNNNNNNNNNNNNNNNNNNNNNNNNNNNNNNNNNNNNNNNNNNNNNNNNNNNNNNNNNNNNNNNNNNNNNNNNNNNNNNNNNNNNNNNNNNNNNNNNNNNNNNNNNNNNNNNNNNNNNNNNNNNNNNNNNNNNNNNNNNNNNNNNNNNNNNNNNNNNNNNNNNNNNNNNNNNNNNNNNNNNNNNNNNNNNNNNNNNNNNNNNNNNNNNNNNNNNNNNNNNNNNNNNNNNNNNNNNNNNNNNNNNNNNNNNNNNNNNNNNNNNNNNNNNNNNNNNNNNNNNNNNNNNNNNNNNNNNNNNNNNNNNNNNNNNNNNNNNNNNNNNNNNNNNNNNNNNNNNNNNNNNNNNNNNNNNNNNNNNNNNNNNNNNNNNNNNNNNNNNNNNNNNNNNNNNNNNNNNNNNNNNNNNNNNNNNNNNNNNNNNNNNNNNNNNNNNNNNNNNNNNNNNNNNNNNNNNNNNNNNNNNNNNNNNNNNNNNNNNNNNNNNNNNNNNNNNNNNNNNNNNNNNNNNNNNNNNNNNNNNNNNNNNNNNNNNNNNNNNNNNNNNNNNNNNNNNNNNNNNNNNNNNNNNNNNNNNNNNNNNNNNNNNNNNNNNNNNNNNNNNNNNNNNNNNNNNNNNNNNNNNNNNNNNNNNNNNNNNNNNNNNNNNNNNNNNNNNNNNNNNNNNNNNNNNNNNNNNNNNCCUUCAUCCAUCUGUGCGAGGCCUAUGUUGGCAUAGAGCCGCACUUUGAUCUUUUCCGGUAUCUUUUCUGUCUGAGGAAGAAGGGAGCAGUUGGAGGCUCCAAGGUUGCAGGUGGAGUAUACCUCAACCUCCGUGAUGGGAUGAAGAAUCGCUACCUGCACUGCCCAUGGAACACCUCCUUGACCGAAUGGUACAGGAAGUGGUUCUACGUCAGGGAGGAACCGGGCAGCUCCACGUUCUGCGACGUGGGGUACGUUCCCGAGAAGAGGGCGAGCUGGACUGACCGCCCAGAGUUCGACGGUCAAGUGGCGGUUCUGAUGAAGCUGAUCGACUGGUCGCGCCUGGAUGGGCUCAGCGUGGUCGGCAACUUCAUUUGCCGCCGGGUGAUGCCCUGCCAGAAGAGGGUGCACUCGGCGUAUGAAUAUGCCGGAAGCACAGACCCGACCAGGAUGCGGUCGGAGAUCCUGGAGAAGGCGGAGGUACAACAGCUGCUGAACGAGCUGUUUAACUUCGCGGAUGGGGGCUUCACCCGUAGCAGUGAUCGGGUGCAAGCCUUCAAGUUAGGACGACCAGCACCAAAGGUAUGUAGCAGACUUCGUUUGAUCAUUCGUAUGUCGCCUGUAGUUGGCUCAUCUCUGUUACCUUUGCAGGUCGGUGAUGUCGACCGGUGCGUAGUGUACGUAUCACUGGCACCGGGGAUGGAAGAUCCUGUGGGAGAGGUCCCACCGGAGGAAGGCAGAGCCCGCCCCGUCCCGACCUCCGAGGAGAGGGUGGCGGGGAAAAGGCCAUUGCCGGUGGAUCCCCUGCCGACGCCGGAGCUGCCGGCAGACCUACCGGCGGAGAGCAGCCAAGCGCCGAAGCGUCGUCGGCUCGUGCGGAUCGUCGACGACGACGACGACGACGAGGAGGCUGCGCCGUCGUUGGUCCGACGGCCUCGGGGCCGCCCAGACGCUGCACCAGUCGCCACUGAUCGAGUGGCCAACGGCGCGGCUGCCCCGCAAGUUGCCGAGGUGGGGGCACAGGCGCCGACCGGCCGGGCGAGGAGGAGGUUCACCGCGACCCAUCGCCGGUCAGACCUGUAAGUGUUCAACUUACGUAUUUUGGACUCCCCCUUUUUUUUUUUUUUAAACUUUUGUUCCUGUAGUGCGGCAUCGGAUGUCGACCCUGGCCAAACUGCCGGCCAGGGAACGGGCGAGCCUGCCCGCGGUUCUCGGGAUGCGGCCCCCCAGACCACAGAACAGCCGACUGCUGCAGUCGCGCCUGGGAGCACCGAGGAGCUCCCGAGCGCGGCGCCGACUACAACAAGCAGCCCGACCAGGGCUGGGGAGGCUCCCCCAACUGACUCUUCGGAGAAGGGAAAGUCUCCGACCGCUCCUCCUGCCGGGGGGAGUGAAGUCCCCCCGCCGCCCCGAGCAGAAGCCUCUCCGGCUGCGGGCUCCCCAGGUCUGGUCCAAGGGACGUUGACGCCUGGGACCACCACCGGGGGUGACGCAGCCCAGGAGGAGGAAACCAGGGCGGCCUCCGACGACGAGGUAGAAGAGAUCGAGGGUCGUCCCCGUGAUGGCCGCCAACACGUGUAUGUGUGGCGCCAACGCGGGGAUCACUUUAUCGGUCAUGAGGAGCUUGCCGAGUCCGAAGAGGCCGCCAGGGUGGAGCGCGCGGCCAAGCGCCUUGUCGACGAAGUCAAGGUAAGCGUCGUUUUGAGCUGCCGCGCAUUCUUUUGCCUUGUCUUCUGCGCAUUGUUAUAUGCUUGCUUUGUAGGACGUUAUGAAAACGGCGAAGUACCGGAAACGGUGCUUUGACCAGAUAGAAGGCGUCAUGGCCGAGAACAAGGCCCUUGCCGCGGAGGUAGACCGGUUGCGGGCGGAGGUCGGAGAGAAGGUGGUCGAGAUGAGCACCGAGAAGGAGCGUCGUCUCGACCUCGCUCGUCGCCUGGCCGACCAGUACCGGCUGCAGGAAGGUUAGUCUCACGCUCCGAGCAGUUUCGCAGACUUGUAUAGUUUGCUUCGCUGACCAGUUUAGGAUUCACGCAGACUUGGAGGAGGAGGUGGCGAGCCUCCAACAAGAGAAGGAGCAGCUCGGCCAACAGCUCGCCAGUGCGCAGGAGUCCGGACGGCGAGCGGAAGAGGAAUUAAGUCGUAAAGACCGGGAGUUAGCUGGUAAUGGGUGCCGCCUUGUUGGUUGCUACCUGCCCCUUUGCUUGUUUGGUAUGCCGAAAGUAACGUUUCGUUUCGUUUGCAGUGCUCAAGGUGAACACCAAAAAGCACCUGGAUGAGCUGGUCAAGGACCGGGACUCCUGGAAGGUCAACUGUUGCAGGAUCUGGAAGGGAGUGUCCCCGGUCCUGGACCUGAUCAGUCCCGAGCUCCCGGAGAGCCAGCCCCGCGCGCCGCAGUUGACCCCGGUUCAAAAGGCGCAACGGGCGUGGGACUGGCUCCAGCAGUUUGUGAAGGACGCCGGGGAGUUUGCCGGCGCGCACGUCCUCAGCAUGGUACGCGCCCACUACCCCCUUGUCGACUUGAGCAGGCUGGAGAAGGGGUACCCGAAGGAAGUCGGCCCACAGGAAGCGGACGAACUUCGGGGUAGUCUGCUGGACUUGUCGUCGACAGUGAUCGGCGACAUCAACCUGUGCGGAACGGCCACUCCUCCAGACCAGCCGAGCUCAGAUAGGUCGGCCAGGGAGUUGUCGGGCGCGUCCUUUGCUGGAGAUGGGCGGUCGACGCCUGCGGUCUCGACCAGCCAGGCGCCGGUGGCCCCGACCCCUUCGUCCGGGCAGCAGGGCCAGGCGGGUGAUCAGCCCGAGCAGCUAGGCCAAUAAAGUAGUCUGUAGGAAUAGACUAGUAUCUGCCCGUCAGGGUAUUUAUUGUAAACUUUGUAUGUAAAGUUUGUAAUAAAGUUUUCUUUUUGUCAUGACUGUUGUUUUGAGCGCUGUAAAAAUAUCUGAGUGAUGUGUCAUCGUAUUUGUCUUGGUUGUCGCCAAGAGCAUCCAUUGCGGGAGUUUUGCCGAGUGCUGUGUAUGACAAGGUAUAGGCAAAAAAUAGAGAAUUAUAUUGUCACAAAUUAUAAGACACUUACAAAAGAAAGUCGCUAAAACUUUAUGGAUAGAAACGUCGCAGUUUGUCGAUGUGCCAAGAGUUAGGCACUCGUGUUCCGUCUGGGUAUGCCAAUCUGUAGGACGUAGGUCGUGUGACCUCGGUCACCACGAAGGGUCCUUCCCAGGGAGUAGAUAACUUGUGCAUUCCCUCCUGGCUUGUUUUCCAUCGAAGCACCAGAUCGCCGACCACGAAGGAACGGUCCUUGACGUUCCUGUUGUAGUAUCGCCUGACUGCCGUGAGAUAUUUUGCUGUUCGGAGACAUGAAACUAAACGCUUUUCCUCCAUGCAAUUGAUUUCGAGUUCUCUGGCGUUGUCGGCGGUCGACUGGUCGAAGUGCUCAAUUCUAGGGGAUCCGAAGUGUAUGUCGGACGGCAGAACCGCCUCUGCGCCGUACACCAUGAAAUAGGGAGACACCCCCGUGUUUCGACUGGUCUGAGUUCGAAGGCCCCAGACCACUGCCGGCAAUUCUUUCAUCCAUCGACCGGGUGCUCUGUCGUUCUCGGUGUACAAUCUUUUCUUUAGGGCGUCGACGAUCAUUCCAUUAGCACGUUCGACCUGACCGUUGGCACGUGGAUGUGCCACUGACACAUAUUUUAUGACUAUGCCUCUGUCAUCGCAGAAAUCCCAAAAGGUGGUGCCAGUAAACUGAGUGCCCAGGUCGGUGAUUAUGCUGUUCGGGAUGCCGAAUCUGUGUAUGAUUUGAUUGAGGAACUCCACAGCCUUCUCGGAAGUUGCCUUGACCAGGGGCAUGUAUUCAAUCCACUUGGAGAACUUGUCGAUUAACACGAAGACAAACUUGAAGUUGCCCGGGGCUGGUUUAAAUGGUCCGAUCAUGUCAAGCCCCCAGCAGGCAAAGGGCCAAGACGACGGGAUGGUUUGAAUUUCAUGGGCAGGUACGUGGGUCCUCUUAGCGAAAAACUGACAUCCUUCGCAACGCCGAACCAGUUUUUCUGCAUCGCUGACCGCGGUCGGCCAGUAAAAACCUGCUCGGAAAGCCUUUCCGACCAGCGUUCUAGAUGCGGCGUGGUUGCCGCAGGAUCCGGCGUGUAUGUCCUCCAAGAGCUUGAUACCAUCGUCUUGGGGUAUGCACUUGAGCAGUACCUCGGAGCUUGCGUUUUUCCGCAUGAGUUUUCCGUCGACCAGGAUGUAGUUCUUUGACCGUCGGAUGAGACGCUCGUUCUCUGUUUUGUCCUGAAAACCUGUCCCGUCUGAGAUGUAUUUGAUGAACGGGACACGCCAGUCGCGCCCGCCGGUUGUCGGAGUGGCGUCAUCUAUGAGCAUUGCCUCGUUGGGUUGCUUGUCGACCAGGGGGGAGCUUACGCUCGGCUCAUGGAUGUCCUGGACGAAAAUACCGCGCGGGAUUUGGGCCCGGGACGAGCCUAACUUUGACAACGCAUCUGCUGCUUGGUUCUUAUCCCGGACCACGUGGAUGUACUCUAUGCCAUAGAAGUUAGUUUCCCAUUUGCGAAUUUCUUUGCAGUAGAGAUCCAUCUUCUCGUGGGUUGCGUCCCACUCCUUGUUGAGCUGGUUGAUGACCAAAGCGGAGUCCCCGUAGACAUAGAGGCGCUUAACCCCCAGCUCAACGGCUAGUCGUACGCCAUGUAAGCAAGCUUCAUAUUCGGCGACAUUGUUUGACGCCGGGAAAAGGAUCCGAAGGACGUAGCGGAGUUUGUCCUUGUUUGGUGAUACGAACAAUAUCCCAGCGCCUGCACCGUUGAUGUUCAAGGACCCAUCAAAGAACAUUGACCAGUGGUCUGAGACAUCGGGAACGGACGGUUCGUUGAGAUCCGUCCAUUCGGCAAUGAAAUCGACCAGGGCUUGGGACUUGACAGUGGUGCGACUCUGAAACUCCAGGGAAAAUGGACAUAAUUCCAUUGCCCAUUUCACGAUUCUGCCAUUGGCGUCUUUAUUGCGCAGGAUGUCACCGAGGGGAAAGCUGGUUGUCACCAGGACUCGAUGGCCGUCGAAGUAGUGCUUCAGUUUUCUUGACGUUAUCAGGAUGGCGUAUAUAAGCUUCUGUAUUUGUGGGUACCUGGCCUUGGAUUCGUUUAAAACUUCGCUUAUGAAGUAAACGGGCCUCUGGACCUUGAAGACGUGACCUGGUUCAUCUCGCUCGACCACUAUUGCCGUGGAAACAACUCUGUCGGUUGCAGCAAUGUAAAGGAGCAGGUCUUCGUUGGGCUGAGGCGCUGUGAGAACAGGCGGUGAAGUGAGGAAGGUCUUAAGCUGAGUGAACGCAGCGUCGGCGUCUUCUAUCCAGGAGAAUUUUUCUGACGCUUUCAAUAGUUUGAAAAAGGGGAGGCCUUUUUCUCCCAGCCUUGAGAUGAAACGACUGAGAGCGGCCAUGCAUCCGGUUAGCUUCUGAAUAUCCUUGACGUUCUUCGGUGGUCGCAUGUCGAGUACGGCUUUGACUUUUGAAGGGUUUGGCCGUAUGCCGUCGCAACUGACGACGUUGCCGAGCAGUAGACCGGAAGGAACGCCGAAAAUGCAUUUCUUGGGGUUGAGCUUCCACUUGUACCUAUUGAGUGCCUUGAAGGUUCGGUCUAAGUUGUCGAUUAGGGUGCUCGCAUCCCUUGUUUUUACGACCACGUCGUCCACAUAGGCCUCGACGAGGUCGUCGCGAAUCUCGUCGUGGAGGCAUUGCUGGAUGGCCCUUUGAUAAGUGGCCCCGGCGUUUUUAAGUCCGAAAGACAUGGUAGUGUAACAGUAUGCGCCGAAAGGUGUGAUGAAGGAUGUUUUGAUCUGAUCUUCUUCUUUUAACGAGAUCUGGUGAUAACCAGAGUAGCAAUCUAGAAAGGAGAGGAGUUCGCAUCCGGCCGUUGAGUCGACCACCUCGUCGAUGCGAGGAAGACCAAAAGGAUCUUUAGGACAGUGUUUGUUGAGAUCGGUGUAAUCAACGCACAUUCUCCAUUCAUUAUUCUUUUUGCGUACAAGAACCGGAUUGGCGAGCCAAUCGGGAUGAUACACCUCUUUUAUGAAUCCGGCUGCUAGAAGCCGUGUUAUUUCUGUCCUAAUAGCCUCCUUUUUGUCACGAGCGAACCGUCGCAGUUUUUGCUUGAUUGGUCUUGCGGUCUUCGAGACGUUUAAGGAGUGCUCGAUCAGGUUCCGUGGGACGCCGGGCAUGUCUGCGGGUUUCCAUGCGAAAACGCUCACGUUGUCCCUUAGAAACCUGACGAGCGCGUCUUCCUAUUUUGGAUCCAGGUUAGCCCCGAUGAGGGCUGUCUUCUCGGGGUUGCCCUCGACCAGCUGCACUUCUUUGUACUCCUUGGAUUUCGAAUUCUUUCUGGCUGUCUCCUGCUCAGGUAAUCGGAGCUGGUCGGGGGGCAGCUGUGCGGCUUGGUUUGCUGUUUCCGCCAUGCGGAUUGAGAGGUCAAUUGCCUCGGUGAUCUUGAAACUUUCUUCUUCGCAGGUGUACGCAGUGUAGACGUUGCCUCUGACGGUCAGGACACCCUUCUCCGUGGGCAUCUUAAGCACUAGGUACGAGUAGUGCGGGACUGCCAUGAACUUUGUCAGCGAUGGGCGGCCCAGUAUGGCGUGGUAGGUCCCGUCGAAGUCCGCGACUACGAAGUUGAUGAACUCCGUCCGGAAGUGAUCGGGUGUGCCGAAUUGGACAGGCAAUGUUAUCUGUCCGAGGGGCACCGAACUUUGACCUGGCAAAACCCCCCAGAAUUGGGCGUCGUAAGGUUUUAGUUGGGCCGGUGAUAUCUUGAGGGCGGGCAGGCUGUUGCGGAAGAGGAUGUCAAUGGAGCUUCCCCCGUCCACGAGCACGCGCUCGAAUCUGAUGCUGUUGAUGCAAGGAUCGAGAAUUAGUGGGAAACGACCCGGCUCCGGGAUAGCGGCCCACUGGUCCUUCCUGCUGAACGCGAUCUCCCUAUGGGACCAGGCGGGAAAUUUCAGAUCUGCGAUCAGCCCGUCCGUGCUGUCUAUGUUGAGGCAGGCUCUCUUCAACAGCUUUCUUUCUCGCUUGGACUCAGUGGAGACCUUGCCCCCGAAAAUGGAGUGGACCACGUCGGUGGGGCUGACGUAUUGGUGUCGGGGGUCCCUGUCUUGGUCCUCGUCCUCAUCUUCGUGGUCGUGCCCGUCGCGUUUGUUACUUUUCUUGGCGGUGUCUUCUUGGGCGGCCCGCCGUGUAUAGAUAUUUUUGAGGACGCGGCACUCUUCCAUGGUAUGGUUAGACUUUGGAUGUAGCUGGCACGGUCCCUUCAACGUUUUGUUGUAGUCGUCUUGGUAGUCCCGUCGUCCAUUGGGACGUUUGACCGUGUUUACUUCGUGGUCGUAUUCGCGAGGGCGCUUUCCUCUGAAGUCGUCGCGGCUGUCGCGCCGCCGAUCCCAACCCUCUCGGUGAUCGCGGUUGUCGGAGCGACGGUGAUUUCUGUUGUCGUAGCGGCCGCGACCGUCGUCUCGCCGGGAGGGCUGGUCGGUGCCUCUCGCAUCGUCUCGGAUUAGUUUUUCUGCGUCAUCAGCAUCGGCAUAAUUUUUAGCCGUGGCGAGGAGCUCUGCUACUGUUGAUGGACGUUUACGCAACAGCUUGUUCCUCAGCGCUUCAUGGAAACGUAAGCCCUUGAUAAAGGCUGAUAUGGCCUCGUCAUGAGAAAUCUUCGGGAUUUUGAGACGCAUAUCCGAGAAUCGUCGGAUGUAAUCACGCAGAGGUUCAUUCUUCCUGUCUCUUAUCCUUUCAAGGUCAUACUUGUUUCCGGGCUGUUCGCAUGUGGCGAUGAAGUUGUCAAUGAAAGCCUGUCGUAGUUCUUCCCAAGAGUCGAAGGAGUCCUCGGGCAAGCCGAGAAGCCACUGAUGACCAGCCUGGUCGAGGACUACGGGGAAGUAGUUAGCCAUGACGUGCUCAUCUCCUGCCGCUGAUCGGACGGCGAUUUCGUAGAGGGUGAUCCAGUUCUCUGGAUUUUCCUUGCCGUCGUAUUUUUUAAGUUUUUCGAGCUUGAAAUUUCUGGGCCACACGACCUGGCGGAGGUGUGAGGAGAACUGCCUUAGGCCCGGGGGACCAUGGGUCGCAUCGUACUCGAUGCGGCGUAGGUUUUCGUGGACUGCUCUCUCUGCGGCGCGCCUGUUGAUGCGGUCCCGGGCAUCUUUGGGAGGGAUGUUGUGGCGGAGAUCCCUGUGUUGAUCUUCUUCUUCCUGGCCGCGUACGCGGUUCUGCUGGCGGCGGCCAUCGGCGUCUCGACCACCAUCGUCGCGCCGUGAGUCCCCUCGACGGUUGUCGGGGGAGCGCCUGCGGCGACGCCUGCUGGGCGAGGCCCGGCUACGAUGAGUCUGGUCGGAGGCGGCUUCCGUAUAAGGGACGUCCUGGACUCUCUUAAGCAGAGUUGCUGUCUGUCCCAUCGCGGCGAUCAGGUGUGCUCGGAUACUGGUCCGGACCCCCUGGCAUUCUGGUGUGUCAGGAAGCCGAUCCAGGUUGGCCAUGGCAACAGCCACGUUGGCGCUUGGCGUUUUGUAGACCGGCUGGUCCCCGACCAUGUCAAAGGCAUCGUUGAGGUUACCCGGUGGCGUCUGUUGUUGCUCGUCCGCACGCCGUCGGGCGCGAUCGGCGUUACGCUGUUCGCGGAGUUGCCUCUGGUCGUCUGUUUCUCCGUCAACAACCGGUUCGUCGGCGCUGACAUUGAAUACAAUAUCCCCUCGCCGGGGGGGGGGAAUAUCGGGAACCGGUCGAAACCCGGAGGGUGUGAAGGGAAAUCCAGGUCGUAGCCCUCGUCUUCGGUGUUUAUAACCUCGGUGGGGACGGAGCCGGUGCUUGAGUUGGUGCUGGAAACCUGGCCGUUCCGUAGCUCUCGGAUUGUCACCAUGUUGACAUGGUGACGAUUGUUCCUUGUCGGCGACCAGCCCGCUUUGCUGAAAACGGAUUGAACAUGCUGUGAGUAGACAGAGGCCGAGUUAUUCAGGCCGCAAGGAUGGUCUCCCUUUUUGAGCUCGACGGAUCGGCCUGAGGAGGUUGAGGUUAUCGCCAGGGACGUUCCCAGCCGUUCGUGUGUGGUGACACGAGUUGGCCGGCGGGAUUUCGAAAAAUCCGCUUGAGUGGCUUGGUCGGGCCGGCGCAGAAUUCCAUCUAUUAGUUGGGAGACUUCGAGCAGCUUGGAGUCGGCGCGAUCGAGCGCUUGGAGGAGGUCCGAGCAGUCGAUCUCCUUUCCCUUGUAGAGUGGGAACGGUGGCCGGGAGUUUGGUGCCGUCAUGCGUGUGGUCGGAGACGGCGUGAUCUCAGAUUGGAUCUGGAUCUCUUUCGGGACCGUGGUCGGGAAGCCGCCGCUGCACGUCGUCCACGUGAUCUGGCCGACGGUAAACGUGAGGCCUUCGGGCACGGUCGCGGAAGCUGGGAUCGUGACCAUCUUGUUCGCCGGAAAAGUUGCACGCACACCCCCUACCUGGCGCGCCACUGUCGACGAAAGCUGGUCGGCAGUCUACCUUGGGGUAUACCCACGGUAGUAGUUUAUCGGUAGACGGUGCGCAAACUACGAACUCGAUGGUGACGCAAGACACGGACAAGCUUUUUAUCCAGGUUCGGCCGCCGAGUUGGCGUAAUACCUACGUCCUGCGUCUGGUUGUAUUGGAUUGUGUUUAGAGAUAAUCUACCCUAGGGGGUCCCCUUGCCCCUCCUUAUAUAGUCUGGAGGGCAGGGUUACAGAUCUAGAAACUAAUCCUAGCCGGUUACAAUUGCCAUAGAUAAUUCGAUAUCAAUUCCUAUUCUAACCGACUAGAAUCCUGCUUGAUCUCCACGUCCUGUUUCCUUGCGCGAAACUCGGGCUAUCGGAUCAAGCCUUGAACUCGUCUCGUAGUGGGCCAAGCUUCCUAGCUGAAGUCUAGCCGUAAGGGUAUAGGGGUUUAUACCCCCACACCGUGCGUUCUCCUCCCCUUUAUGCCCGCGCCUCCGUGUACGGCCCGCCCAUAGCUCCUUCGACGGCGCCGCCUAGGAACGCGGAGAAAAUAUGACAAAGGAACGGCCAAAAAUAAAAAGAAAGACCUUUCUUUUGAAAAAACAAACAAAUAAAAGGAAUGCAACACGAGGACUUCCCAGGAGGUCACCCAUCCUAGUACUACUCUCGCCCAAGCACGCUUAACUUCGGAGUUCUGAUGGGAUCCGGUGCUUUAGUGCUGGUAUGAUCGCAUCCGACAUACCGUGCGUUCUCCUCCCCUUUAUGCCCGCGCCUCCGUGUACGGCCCGCCCAUAGCUCCUUCGACGGCGCCGCCUAGGAACGCGGAGAAAAUAUGACAAAGGAACGGCCAAAAAUAAAAAGAAAGACCUUUCUUUUGAAAAAACAAACAAAAAAAAGGAAUGCAACACGAGGACUUCCCAGGAGGUCACCCAUCCUAGUACUACUCUCGCCCAAGCACGCUUAACUUCGGAGUUCUGAUGGGAUCCGGUGCUUUAGUGCUGGUAUGAUCGCAUCCGACAUACCGUGCGUUCUCCUCCCCUUUAUGCCCGCGCCUCCGUGUACGGCCCGCCCAUAGCUCUUUCGACGGCGCCGCCUAGGAACGCGGAGAAAAUAUGACAAAGGAACGGCCAAAAAUAAAAGAAAGACCUUUCUUUUGAAAAAACAAACGCCUCCGUGUACGGCCCGCCCAUAGCUCCUCCGACGGCCCCGCCUAGGAACGCGAAGAAAAUAUGACAAAGGAACGCCCAAAAAUAAAAAGAAAGACCUUUCUUUUGAAAAAACAAACAUUAAAAAGGAAUGCAACACGAGGACUUCCCAGGAGGUCACCAAUCCUAGUACUACUCUCGCCCAAGCACGCUUAACUUCGAAGUUCUGAUGGGAUCCGGUGCUUUAGUGCUGGUAUGAUCGCAUCCGACAUACCGUGCGUUCUCCUCCCCUUUAUGCCCGCGCCUCCGUGUACGGCCCGCCCAUAGCUCCUUCGACGGCGCCGCCUAGGAACGCGGAGAAAAUAUGACAAAGGAACGGCCAAAAAUAAAAAGAAAGACCUUUCUUUUGAAAAAACAAACAAAAAAAAGGAAUGCAACACGAGGACUUCCCAGGAGGUCACCCAUCCUAGUACUACUCUCGCCCAAGCACGCUUAACUUCGGAGUUCUGAUGGGAUCCGGUGCUUUAGUGCUGGUAUGAUCGCAUCCGACAUACCGUGCGUUCUCCUCCCCUUUAUGCCCGCGCCUCCGUGUACGGCCCGCCCAUAGCUCCUUCGACGGCGCCGCCUAGGAACGCGGAGAAAAUAUGACAAAGGAACGGCCAAAAAUAAAAAGAAAGACCUUUCUUUUGAAAAAACAAACAAAAAAAAGGAAUGCAACACGAGGACUUCCCAGGAGGUCACCCAUCCUAGUACUACUCUCGCCCAAGCACGCUUAACUUCGGAGUUCUGAUGGGAUCCGGUGCUUUAGUGCUGGUAUGAUCGCAUCCGACAUACCGUGCGUUCUCCUCCCCUUUAUGCCCGCGCCUCCGUGUACGGCCCGCCCAUAGCUCCUUCGACGGCGCCGCCUAGGAACGCGGAGAAAAUAUGACAAAGGAACGGCCAAAAAUAAAAAGAAAGACCUUUCUUUUGAAAAAAAAAACAAAAAAAAGGAAUGCAACACGAGGACUUCCCAGGAGGUCACCCAUCCUAGUACUACUCUCGCCCAAGCACGCUUAACUUCGGAGUUCUGAUGGGAUCCGGUGCUUUAUUGCUGGUAUGAUCGCAUCCGACAUACCGUGCGUUCUCCUCCCCUUUAUGCCCGCACCUCCGUGUACGGCCCGCCCAUAGCUCCUUCGACGGCGCCGCCUAGGAACGCGGAGAAAAUAUGACAAAGGAACGGCCAAAAAUAAAAAGAAAGACCUUUCUUUUGAAAAAACAAACAAAAAAAAGGAAUGCAACACGAGGACUUCCCAGGAGGUCACCCAUCCUAGUACUACUCUCGCCCAAGCACGCUUAACUUCGGAGUUCUGAUGGGAUCCGGUGCUUUAGUGCUGGUAUGAUCGCAUCCGACAUACCGUGCGUUCUCCUCCCCUUUAUGCCCGCGCCUCCGUGUACGGCCCGCCCAUAGCUCCUUCGACGGCGCCGCCUAGGAACGCGGAGAAAAUAUGACAAAGGAACGGCCAAAAAUAAAAAGAAAGACCUUUCUUUUGAAAAAACAAACAAAUAAAAGGAAUGCAACACGAGGACUUCCCAGGAGGUCACCCAUCCUAGUACUACUCUCGCCCAAGCACGCUUAACUUCGAAGUUCUGAUGGGAUCCGGUGCUUUAGUGCUGGUAUGAUCGUAUCCGACAUACCGUGCGUUCUCCUCCCCUGAAUGCCCGCGCCUCCGUGUACGGCCCGCCCAGAGCUCUUUAGAUGGGACUUCCGAUGGAAUCGGAGACAAUAGGACAAAGGAACGGCCAAAAAUAAAAAGAAAGACCUUUCUUCCGAAAAAACAAACGCCUCCGUGUACGGCCCGCCCAUAGCUCCUUCGACGGCGCCGCCUAGGAACGCGGAGAAAAUAUGACAAAGGAACGGCCAAAAAUAAAAAGAAAGACCUUUCUUUUGAAAAAACAAACAAAAAAAAGGAAUGCAACACGAGGACUUCCCAGGAGGUCACCCAUCCUAGUACUACUCUCGCCCAAGCACGCUUAACUUCGGAGUUCUGAUGGGAUCCGGUGCUUUAGUGCUGGUAUGAUCGCAUCCGACAUACCGUGCGUUCUCCUCCCCUUUAUGCCCGCGCCUCCGUGUACGGCCCGCCCAUAGCUCCUUCGACGGCGCCGCCUAGGAACGCGGAGAAAAUAUGACAAAGGAACGGCCAAAAAUAAAAAGAAAGACCUUUCUUUUGAAAAAACAAACGCCUCCGUGUACGGCCCGCCCAUAGCUCCUUCGACGGCGCCGCCUAGGAACGCGGAGAAAAUAUGACAAAGGAACGGCCAAAAAUAAAAAGAAAGACCUUUCUUUUGAAAAAACAAACAAAAAAAAGGAAUGCAACACGAGGACUUCCCAGGAGGUCACCCAUCCUAGUACUACUCUCGCCCAAGCACGCUUAACUUCGGAGUUCUGAUGGGAUCCGGUGCUUUAGUGCUGGUAUGAUCGCAUCCGACAUACCGUGCGUUCUCCUCCCCUUUAUGCCCGCGCCUCCGUGUACGGCCCGCCCAUAGCUCCUUCGACGGCGCCGCCUAGGAACGCGGAGAAAAUAUGACAAAGGAACGGCCAAAAAUAAAAAGAAAGACCUUUCUUUUGAAAAAACAAACAAAAAAAAGGAAUGCAACACGAGGACUUCCCAGGAGGUCACCCAUCCUAGUACUACUCUCGCCCAAGCACGCUUAACUUCGGAGUUCUGAUGGGAUCCGGUGCUUUAGUGCUGGUAUGAUCGCAUCCGACAUACCGUGCGUUCUCCUCCCCUUUAUGCCCGCGCCUCCGUGUACGGCCCGCCCAUAGCUCCUUCGACGGCGCCGCCUAGGAACGCGGAGAAAAUAUGACAAAGGAACGGCCAAAAAUAAAAAGAAAGACCUUUCUUUUGAAAAAACAAACAAAUAAAAGGAAUGCAACACGAGGACUUCCCAGGAGGUCACCCAUCCUAGUACUACUCUCGCCCAAGCACGCUUAACUUCGGAGUUCUGAUGGGAUCCGGUGCUUUAGUGCUGGUAUGAUCGCAUCCGACAUACCGUGCGUUCUCCUCCCCUUUAUGCCCGCGCCUCCGUGUACGGCCCGCCCAUAGCUCCUUCGACGGCGCCGCCUAGGAACGCGGAGAAAAUAUGACAAAGGAACGGCCAAAAAUAAAAAGAAAGACCUUUCUUUUGAAAAAACAAACAAAUAAAAGGAAUGCAACACGAGGACUUCCCAGGAGGUCACCCAUCCUAGUACUACUCUCGCCCAAGCACGCUUAACUUCGGAGCUCUGAUGGGAUCCGGUGCUUUAGUGCUGGUAUGAUCGCAUCCGACAUACCGUGCGUUCUCCUCCCCUUUAUGCCCGCGCCUCCGUGUACGGCCCGCCCAUAGCUCCUUCGACGGCGCCGCCUAGGAACGCGGAGAAAAUAUGACAAAGGAACGGCCAAAAAUAAAAAGAAAGACCUUUCUUUUGAAAAAACAAACAAAAAAAAGGAAUGCAACACGAGGACUUCCCAGGAGGUCACCCAUCCUAGUACUACUCUCGCCCAAGCACGCUUAACUUCGGAGUUCUGAUGGGAUCCGGUGCUUUAGUGCUGGUAUGAUCGCAUCCGACAUACCGUGCGUUCUCCUCCCCUUUAUGCCCGCGCCUCCGUGUACGGCCCGCCCAUAGCUCCUUCGACGGCGCCGCCUAGGAACGCGGAGAAAAUAUGACAAAGGAACGGCCAAAAAUAAAAAGAAAGACCUUUCUUUUGAAAAAACAAACAAAAAAAAGGAAUGCAACACGAGGACUUCCCAGGAGGUCACCCAUCCUAGUACUACUCUCGCCCAAGCACGCUUAACUUCGGAGUUCUGAUGGGAUCCGGUGCUUUAGUGCUGGUAUGAUCACAUCCGACAUACCGUGCGUUCUCCUCCCCUUUAUGCCCGCGCCUCCGUGUACGGCCCGCCCAUAGCUCCUUCGACGGCGCCGCCUAGGAACGCGGAGAAAAUAUGACAAAGGAACGGCCAAAAAUAAAAAGAAAGACCUUUCUUUUGAAAAAACAAACAAAAAAAAGGAAUGCAACACGAGGACUUCCCAGGAGGUCACCCAUUCUAGUACUACUCUCGCCCAAGCAAGCUUAACUUCGGAGUUCUGAUGGGAUCCGGUGCUUUAGUGCUGGUAUGAUCGCAUCCGACAUACCGUGCGUUCUCCUCCCCUUUAUGCCCGCGCCUCCGUGUACGGCCCGCCCAUAGCUCCUUCGACGGCGCCGCCUAGGAACGCGGAGAAAAUAUGACAAAGGAACGGCCAAAAAUAAAAAGAAAGACCUUUCUUUUGAAAAAACAAACAAAAAAAAGGAAUGCAACACGAGGACUUCCCAAAAUAUGACAAAGGAACGGCCAAAAAUAAAAAGAAAGACCUUUCUUUUGAAAAAACAAACAAAAAAAAGGAAUGCAACACGAGGACUUCCCAGGAGGUCACCCAUUCUAGUACUACUCUCGCCCAAGCAAGCUUAACUUCGGAGUUCUGAUGGGAUCCGGUGCUUUAGUGCUCGUAUGAUCGCAUCCGACAUACCGUGCGUUCUCCUCCCCUUUAUGCCCGCGCCUCCGUGUACGGCCCGCCCAUAGCUCCUUCGACGGCGCCGCCUAUGAACGCGGAGAAAAUAUGACAAAGGAACGGCCAAAAAUAAAAAGAAAGACCUUUCUUUUGAAAAAACAAACAAAAAAAAGGAAUGCAACACGAGGACUUCCCAGGAGGUCACCCAUCCUAGUACUACUCUCGCCCAAGCACGCUUAACUUCGGAGUUCUGAUGGGAUCCGGUGCUUUAGUGCUGGUAUGAUCGCAUCCGACAUACCGUGCGUUCUCCUCCCCUUUAUGCCCGCGCCUCCGUGUACGGCCCGCCCAUAGCUCCUUCGACGGCGCCGCCUAGGAACGCGGAGAAAAUAUGACAAAGGAACGGCCAAAAAUAAAAAGAAAGACCUUUCUUUUGAAAAAACAAACAAAAAAAAGGAAUGCAACACGAGGACUUCCCAGGAGGUCACCCAUCCUAGUACUACUCUCGCCCAAGCACGCUUAACUUCGGAGUUCUGAUGGGAUCCGGUGCUUUAGUGCUGGUAUGAUCGCAUCCGACAUACCGUGCGUUCUCCUCCCCUUUAUGCCCGCGCCUCCGUGUACGGCCCGCCCAUAGCUCCUUCGACGGCGCCGCCUAGGAACGCGGAGAAAAUAUGACAAAGGAACGGCCAAAAAUAACAAGAAAGACCUUUCUUUUGAAAAAACAAACAAAAAAAAGGAAUGCAACACGAGGACUUCCCAGGAGGUCACCAAUCCUAGUACUACUCUCGCCCAAGCACGCUUAACUUCGGAGUUCUGAUGGGAUCCGGUGCUUUAGUGCUGGUAUGAUCGCAUCCGACAUACCGUGCGUUCUCCUCCCCUUUAUGCCCGCGCCUCCGUGUACGGCCCGCCCAUAGCUCCUUCGACGGCGCCGCCUAGGAACGCGGAGAAAAUAUGACAAAGGAACGGCCAAAAAUAAAAAGAAAGACCUUUCUUUUGAAAAAACAAACAAAUAAAAGGAAUGCAACACGAGGACUUCCCAGGAGGUCACCCAUCCUAGUACUACUCUCGCCCAAGCACGCUUAACUUCGGAGUUCUGAUGGGAUCCGGUGCUUUAGUGCUGGUAUGAUCGCAUCCGACAUACCGUGCGUUCUCCUCCCCUUUAUGCCCGCGCCUCCGUGUACGGCCCGCCCAUAGCUCCUUCGACGGCGCCGCCUAGGAACGCGGAGAAAAUAUGACAAAGGAACGGCCAAAAAUAAAAAGAAAGACCUUUCUUUUGAAAAAACAAACAAAAAAAAGGAAUGCAACACGAGGACUUCCCAGGAGGUCACCCAUCCUAGUACUACUCUCGCCCAAGCACGCUUAACUUCGGAGUUCUGAUGGGAUCCGGUGCUUUAGUGCUGGUAUGAUCGCAUCCGACAUACCGUGCGUUCUCCUCCCCUUUAUGCCCGCGCCUCCGUGUACGGCCCGCCCAUAGCUCCUUCGACGGCGCCGCCUAGGAACGCGGAGAAAAUAUGACAAAGGAACGGCCAAAAAUAAAAAGAAAGACCUUUCUUUUGAAAAAACAAACAAAAAAAAGGAAUGCAACACGAGGACUUCCCAGGAGGUCACCCAUCCUAGUACUACUCUCGCCCAAGCACGCUUAACUUCGGAGUUCUGAUGGGAUCCGGUGCUUUAGUGCUGGUAUGAUCGCAUCCGACAUACCGUGCGUUCUCCUCCCCUUUAUGCCCGCGCCUCCGUGUACGGCCCGCCCAUAGCUCCUUCGACGGCGCCGCCUAGGAACGCGGAGAAAAUAUGACAAAGGAACGGCCAAAAAUAAAAAGAAAGACCUUUCUUUUGAAAAAACAAACGCCUCCGUGUACGGCCCGCCCAUAGCUCCUUCGACGGCGCCGCCUAGGAACGCGGAGAAAAUAUGACAAAGGAACGGCCAAAAAUAAAAAGAAAGACCUUUCUUUUGAAAAAACAAACAAAAAAAAGGAAUGCAACACGAGGACUUCCCAGGAGGUCACCCAUCCUAGUACUACUCUCGCCCAAGCACGCUUAACUUCGGAGUUCUGAUGGGAUCCGGUGCUUUAGUGCUGGUAUGAUCGCAUCCGACAUACCGUGCGUUCUCCUCCCCUUUAUGCCCGCGCCUCCGUGUACGGCCCGCCCAUAGCUCCUUCGACGGCGCCGCCUAGGAACGCGGAGAAAAUAUGACAAAGGAACGGCCAAAAAUAAAAAGAAAGACCUUUCUUUUGAAAAAACAAACAAAAAAAAGGAAUGCAACACGAGGACUUCCCAGGAGGUCACCCAUCCUAGUACUACUCUCGCCCAAGCACGCUUAACUUCGGAGUUCUGAUGGGAUCCGGUGCUUUAGUGCUGGUAUGAUCGCAUCCGACAUACCGUGCGUUCUCCUCCCCUUUAUGCCCGCGCCUCCGUGUACGGCCCGCCCAUAGCUCCUUCGACGGCGCCGCCUAGGAACGCGGAGAAAAUAUGACAAAGGAACGGCCCAAAAUAAAAAGAAAGACCUUUCUUUUGAAAAAACAAACAAAAAAAAGGGAAUGCAACACGAGGACUUCCCAGGAGGUCACCCAUCCUAGUACUACUCUCGCCCAAGCACGCUUAACUUCGGAGUUCUGAUGGGAUCCGGUGCUUUAGUGCUGGUAUGAUCGCAUCCGACAUACCGUGCGUUCUCCUCCCCUUUAUGCCCGCGCCUCCGUGUACGGCCCGCCCAUAGCUCCUUCGACGGCGCCGCCUAGGAACGCGGAGAAAAUAUGACAAAGGAACGACCAAAAAUAAAAAGAAAGACCUUUCUUUUGAAAAAACAAACAAAAAAAAGGAAUGCAACACGAGGACUUCCCAGGAGGUCACCCAUCCUAGUACUACUCUCGCCCAAGCACGCUUAACUUCGGAGUUCUGAUGGGAUCCGGUGCUUUAGUGCUGGUAUGAUCGCAUCCGACAUACCGUGCGUUCUCCUCCCCUUUAUGCCCGCGCCUCCGUGUACGGCCCGCCCAUAGCUCCUUCGACGGCGCCGCCUAGGAACGCGGAGAAAAUAUGACAAAGGAACGGCCAAAAAUAAAAAGAAAGACCUUUCUUUUGAAAAAACAAACAAAAAAAAGGAAUGCAACACGAGGACUUCCCAGGAGGUCACCCAUCCUAGUACUACUCUCGCCCAAGCACGCUUAACUUCGGAGUUCUGAUGGGAUCCGGUGCUUUAGUGCUGGUAUGAUCGCAUCCGACAUACCGUGCGUUCUCCUCCCCUUUAUGCCCGCGCCUCCGUGUACGGCCCGCCCAUAGCUCCUUCGACGGCGCCGCCUAGGAACGCGGAGAAAAUAUGACAAAGGAACGGCCAAAAAUAAAAAGAAAGACCUUUCUUUUGAAAAAACAAACAAAAAAAAGGAAUGCAACACGAAGACUUCCCAGGAGGUCACCCAUCCUAGUACUACUCUCGCCCAAGCACGCUUAACUUCGGAGUUCUGAUGGGAUCCGGUGCUUUAGUGCUGGUAUGAUCGCAUCCGACAUACCGUGCGUUCUCCUCCCCUUUAUGCCCGCGCCUCCGUGUACGGCCCGCCCAUAGCUCCUUCGACGGCGCCGCCUAGGAACGCGGAGAAAAUAUGACAAAGGAACGGCCAAAAAUAAAAAGAAAGACCUUUCUUUUGAAAAAACAAACAAAAAAAAGGAAUGCAACACGAGGACUUCCCAGGAGGUCACCCAUCCUAGUACUACUCUCGCCCAAGCACGCUUAACUUCGGAGUUCUGAUGGGAUCCGGUGCUUUAGUGCUGGUAUGAUCGCAUCCGACAUACCGUGCGUUCUCCUCCCCUUUAUGCCCGCGCCUCCGUGUACGGCCCGCCCAUAGCUCCUUCGACGGCGCCGCCUAGGAACGCGGAGAAAAUAUGACAAAGGAACGGCCAAAAAUAAAAAGAAAGACCUUUCUUUUGAAAAAACAAACAAAAAAAAGGAAUGCAACACGAGGACUUCCCAGGAGGUCACCCAUCCUAGUACUACUCUCGCCCAAGCACGCUUAACUUCGGAGUUCUGAUGGGAUCCGGUGCUUUAGUGCUGGUAUGAUCGCAUCCGACAUACCGUGCGUUCUCCUCCCCUUUAUGCCCGCGCCUCCGUGUACGGCCCGCCCAUAGCUCCUUCGACGGCGCCGCCUAGGAACGCGGAGAAAAUAUGACAAAGGAACGGCCAAAAAUAAAAAGAAAGACCUUUCUUUUGAAAAAACAAACAAAAAAAAGGAAUGCAACACGAGGACUUCCCAGGAGGUCACCCAUCCUAGUACUACUCUCGCCCAAGCACGCUUAACUUCGGAGUUCUGAUGGGAUCCGGUGCUUUAGUGCUGGUAUGAUCGCAUCCGACAUACCGUGCGUUCUCCUCCCCUUUAUGCCCGCGCCUCCGUGUACGGCCCGCCCAUAGCUCCUUCGACGGCGCCGCCUAGGAACGCGGAGAAAAUAUGACAAAGGAACGGCCAAAAAUAAAAAGAAAGACCUUUCUUUUGAAAAAACAAACAAAAAAAAGGAAUGCAACACGAGGACUUCCCAGGAGGUCACCCAUCCUAGUACUACUCUCGCCCAAGCACGCUUAACUUCGGAGUUCUGAUGGGAUCCGGUGCUUUAGUGCUGGUAUGAUCGCAUCCGACAUACCGUGCGUUCUCCUCCCCUUUAUGCCCGCGCCUCCGUGUACGGUCCGCCCAUAGCUCCUUCGACGGCGCCGCCUAGGAACGCGGAGAAAAUAUGACAAAGGAACGGCCAAAAAUAAAAAGAAAGUCCUUUCUUUUGAAAAAACAAACAAAAAAAAGGUAUGCAACACGAGGACUUCCUAGGAGGUCACCCAUCCUAGUACUACUCUCGCCCAAGCACGCUUAACUUCGGAGUUCUGAUGGGAUCCGGUGCUUUAGUGCUGGUAUGAUCGCAUCCGACAUACCGUGCGUUCUCCUCCCCUUUAUGCCCGCGCCUCCGUGUACGGCCCGCCCAUAGCUCCUUCGACGGCGCCGCCUAGGAACGCGGAGAAAAUAUGACAAAGGAACGGCCAAAAAUAAAAAGAAAGACCUUUCUUUUGAAAAAACAAACAAAAAAAAGGAAUGCAACACGAGGACUUCCCAGGAGGUCACCCAUCCUAGUACUACUCUCGCCCAAGCACGCUUAACUUCGGAGUUCUGAUGGGAUCCGGUGCUUUAGUGCUGGUAUGAUCGCAUCCGACAUACCGUGCGUUCUCCUCCCCUUUAUGCCCGCGCCUCCGUGUACGGCCCGCCCAUAGCUCCUUCGACGGCGCCGCCUAGGAACGCGGAGAAAAUAUGACAAAGGAACGGCCAAAAAUAAAAAGAAAGACCUUUCUUUGAAAAAACAAAGAAAUAAAAGGAAUGCAACACGAGGACUUCCCAGGAGGUCACCCAUCCUAGUACUACUCUCGCCCAAGCACGCUUAACUUCGGAGUUCUGAUGGGAUCCGGUGCUUUAGUGCUGGUAUGAUCGCAUUCGACAUACCGUGCGUUCUCCUCCCCUUUAUGCCCGCGCCUCCGUGUACGGCCCGCCCAUAGCUCCUUCGACGGCGCCGCCUAGGAACGCGGAGAAAAUAUGACAAAGGAACGGCCAAAAAUAAAAAGAAAGACCUUUCUUUUGAAAAAACAAACAAAUAAAAGGAAUGCAACACGAGGACUUCCCAGGAGGUCACCCAUCCUAGUACUACUCUCGCCCAAGCACGCUUAACUUCGGAGUUCUGAUGGGAUCCGGUGCUUUAGUGCUGGUAUGAUCGCAUCCGACAUACCGUGCGUUCUCCUCCCCUUUAUGCCCGCGCCUCCGUGUACGGCCCGCCCAUAGCUCCUUCGACGGCGCCGCCUAGGAACGCGGAGAAAAUAUGACAAAGGAACGGCCAAAAAUAAAAAGAAAGACCUUUCUUUUGAAAAAACAAACGCCUCCGUGUACGGCCCGCCCAUAGCUCCUUCGACGGCGCCGCCUAGGAACGCGGAGAAAAUAUGACAAAGGAACGGCCAAAAAUAAAAAGAAAGACCUUUCUUUUGAAAAAACAAACAAAAAAAAGGAAUGCAACACGAGGACUUCCCAGGAGGUCACCCAUCCUAUUACUACUCUCGCCCAAGCACGCUUAACUUCGGAGUUCUGAUGGGAUCCGGUGCUUUAGUGCUGGUAUGAUCGCAUCCGACAUACCGUGCGUUCUCCUCCCCUUUAUGCCCGCGCCUCCGUGUACGGCCCGCCCAUAGCUCCUUCGACGGCGCCGCCUAGGAACGCGGAGAAAAUAUGACAAAGGAACGGCCAAAAAUAAAAAGAAAGACCUUUCUUUUGAAAAAACAAACAAAAAAAAGGAAUGCAACACGAGGACUUCCCAGGAGGUCACCCAUCCUAGUACUACUCUCGCCCAAGCACGCUUAACUUCGGAGUUCUGAUGGGAUCCGGUGCUUUAGUGCUGGUAUGAUCGCAUCCGACAUACCGUGCGUUCUCCUCCCCUUUAUGCCCGCGCCUCCGUGUACGGCCCGCCCAUAGCUCCUUCGACGGCGCCGCCUAGGAACGCGGAGAAAAUAUGACAAAGGAACGGCCAAAAAUAAAAAGAAAGACCUUUCUUUUGAAAAAACAAACAAAAAAAAGGAAUGCAACACGAGGACUUCCCAGGAGGUCACCCAUCCUAGUACUACUCUCGCCCAAGCACGCUUAACUUCGGAGUUCUGAUGGGAUCCGGUGCUUUAGUGCUGGUAUGAUCGCAUCCGACAUACCGUGCGUUCUCCUCCCCUUUAUGCCCGCGCCUCCGUGUACGGCCCGCCCAUAGCUCCUUCGACGGCGCCGCCUAGGAACGCGGAGAAAAUAUGACAAAGGAACGGCCAAAAAUAAAAAGAAAGACCUUUCUUUUGAAAAAACAAACAAAUAAAAGGAAUGCAACACGAGGACUUCCCAGGAGGUCACCCAUCCUAGUACUACUCUCGCCCAAGCACGCUUAACUUCGGAGUUCUGAUGGGAUCCGGUGCUUUAGUGCUGGUAUGAUCGCAUCCGACAUACCGUGCGUUCUCCUCCCCUUUAUGCCCGCGCCUCCGUGUACGGCCCGCCCAUAGCUCCUUCGACGGCGCCGCCUAGGAACGCGGAGAAAAUAUGACAAAGGAACGGCCAAAAAUAAAAAGAAAGACCUUUCUUUUGAAAAAACAAACAAAUAAAAGGAAUGCAACACGAGGACUUCCCAGGAGGUCACCCAUACUAGUACUACUCUCGCCCAAGCACGCUUAACUUCGGAGUUCUAAUGGGAUCCGGUGCUUUAGUGCUGGUAUGAUCGCAUCCGACAUACCGUGCGUUCUCCUCCCCUUUAUGCCCGCGCCUCCGUGUACGGCCCGCCCAUAGCUCCUUCGACGGCGCCGCCUAGGAACGCGGAGAAAAUAUGACAAAGGAACGGCCAACAAUAANNNNNNNNNNNNNNNNNNNNNNNNNNNNNNNNNNNNNNNNNNNNNNNNNNNNNNNNNNNNNNNNNNNNNNNNNNNNNNNNNNNNNNNNNNNNNNNNNNNNGUCACCCAUCCCAGUACUACUCUCGCCCAAGGCACGCUUAACUUCGGAGUUCUGAUGGGAUCCGGUGCUUUAGUGCUGGUAUGAUCGCAUCCGACAUACCGUGCGUUCUCCUCCCCUUUAUGCCCGCGCCUCCGUGUACGGCCCGCCCAUAGCUCGUUCGACGCCGCCGCCUAGGAACCCGGAGAAAAUAUGACAAAGGAACGGCCAAAAAUCCAAAGAAAGAUCUUUCUUUUGAAAAAACCACCAUAAAAGGAAUGCAACACGAGGACUUCCCAGGAGGUCACCCAUCCUAGUACUACUCUCGCCCAAGCACGCUUAACUUCGGAGUUCUGAUGGGAUCCAGUGCUUUAGUGCUGGUAUGAUCGCAUCCGACAUACCGUGCGUUCUCCUCCCCUUUAUGCCCGCGCCUCCGUGUACGGCCCGCCCAUAGCUCGUUCGACGGCGCCGCCUAGGAACGCGGAGAAAAUAUGACAAAAGAACGGCCAAAAAUAAAAAGAAAGACCUUUCUUUUGAAAAAAGAAACAAAAAAAGGAAUGCAACACGAGGACUUCCCAAGAGGUCACCCAUCCUAGUGCUACUCUCGCCCAAGCACGCUUAACUUCGGAGUUCUGAUGGGAUCCGGUGCUUCAGUGCUGGUAUGAUCGCAUCCGAUAUACCGUGCGUUCUCCUCCCCUUUAUGCCCGCGCCUCCGUGUACGGCCCGCCCAUAGCUCGUUCGACGGCGCCGCCUAGGAACGCGGAGAAACUAUGACAAAGGAACGGCCAAAAAUAAAAAGAAAUACCUUUCUUUUGAAAAAACAAACAAAAAAAGGAAUGCAACACGAGAACUUUCCACGAGGUCACCCAUCCUAGUACUACUCUCGUCCAAACACGCUUAACUUCAGAGUUCUAAUGGGAUCCGGUGCUUUAGUGCUGGUAUGAUCGCAUCCGACAUACCGUGCGUUCUCCUCCCCUUUAUGCCCGCGCCUCCGUGUACGGCCCGCCCAUAGCUCCUUCGACGGCGCCGCCUAGGAACGCGGAGAAAAUAUGACAAAGGAACGGCCAAAAAUAAAAAGAAAGACCUUUCUUUUGAAAAAACAAACAAAAAAAGGAAUGCAACACGAGGACUUCCCAGGAGGUCACCCAUCCUAGUACUACUCUCGCCCAAGCACGCUUAACUUCAAAGUUCUGAUGGGAUCCGGUGCUUUAGUGCUGGUAUGAUCGCAUCCGACAUACCGUGCGUUCUCCUCCCCUUUAUGCCCGCGCCUCCGUGUACGGCCCGCCCAUAGCUCCUUCGACGGCGCCGCCUAGGAACGCGGAGAAAAUAUGACAAAGGAACGGCCAAAAAUAAAAAGAAAGACCUUUCUUUUGAAAAAACAAACAAAAAAAGGAAUGCAACACGAGGACUUCCCAGGAGGUCACCCAUCCUAGUACUACUGUCGCCCAAGCACGCUUAAGUUCGGAGUUCUGAUGGGAUCCGGUGCUUUAGUGCUGGUAUGAUCGCAUCCGACAUGCCGUGCGUUCUCCUCCCCUUUAUGCCCGCGCCUCCGUGUACGGCCCGCCCAUAGCUCCUUCGUCGGCGCCGCCUAGGAACGCGGAGAAAAUAUGACAAAGGAACGGCCAAAAAUAAAAAGAAAGACCUUUCUUUUGAAAAAACAAACGCCUCCGUGUACGGCCCGCCCAUAGCUCCUUCGACGGCGCCGCCUAGGAACGCGGAGAAAAUAUGACAAAGGAACGGCCAAAAAUAAAAAGAAAGACCUUUCUUUUGAAAAAACAAACAAAAAAAAGGAAUGCAACACGAGGACUUCCCAGGAGGUCACCCAUCCUAGUACUACUCUCGCCCAAGCACGCUUAACUUCGGAGUUCUGAUGGGAUCCGGUGCUUUAGUGCUGGUAUGAUCGCAUCCGACAUACCGUGCGUUCUCCUCCCCUUUAUGCCCGCCCCUCCGUGUACGGCCCGCCCAUAGCUCUUUCGACGGCGCCGCCUAGGAACGCGGAGAAAAUAUGACAAAGGAACGGCCAAAAAUAAAAAGAAAGACCUUUCUUUUGAAAAAACAAACGCCUCCGUGUACGGCCCGCCCAUAGCUCCUUCGACGGCGCCGCCUAGGAACGCGGAGAAAAUAUGACAAAGGAACGGCCAAAAAUAAAAAGAAAGACCUUUCUUUUGAAAAAACAAACAAAAAAAAGGAAUGCAACACGAGGACUUCCCAGGAGGUCACCCAUCCUAGUACUACUCUCGCCCAAGCACGCUUAACUUCGGAGUUCUGAUGGGAUCCGGUGCUUUAGUGCUGGUAUGAUCGCAUCCGACAUACCGUGCGUUCUCCUCCCCUUUAUGCCCGCGCCUCCGUGUACGGCCCGCCCAUAGCUCCUUCGACGGCGCCGCCUAGGAACGCGGAGAAAAUAUGACAAAGGAACGGCCAAAAAUAAAAAGAAAGACCUUUCUUUUGAAAAAACAAACAAAAAAAAGGAAUGCAACACGAGGACUUCCCAGGAGGUCACCCAUCCUAGUACUACUCUCGCCCAAGCACGCUUAACUUCGGAGUUCUGAUGGGAUCCGGUGCUUUAGUGCUGGUAUGAUCGCAUCCGACAUACCGUGCGUUCUCCUCCCCUUUAUGCCCGCGCCUCCGUGUACGGCCCGCCCAUAGCUCCUUCGACGGCGCCGCCUAGGAACGCGGAGAAAAUAUGACAAAGGAACGGGCAAAAAUAAAAAGAAAGACCUUUCUUUUGAAAAAACAAACAAAAAAAAGGAAUGCAACACGAGGACUUCCCAGGAGGUCACCCAUCCUAGUACUACUCUCGCCCAAGCACGCUUAACUUCGGAGUUCUGAUGGGAUCCGGUGCUUUAGUGCUGGUAUGAUCGCAUCCGACAUACCGUGCGUUCUCCUCCCCUUUAUGCCCGCGCCUCCGUGUACGGGCCGUCCAUAGCUCCUUCGACGGCGCCGCCUAUGAACGCGGAGAAAAUAUGACAAAGGAACGGCCAACAAUCAUACGAAAGACCUUUCUUUUGAAAAAACAAACAAAAAAAAGGAAUGCGACACGAGGACUUCCCAGGAGGUCACCCAUCCUAGUACUACUCUCGCCCAAGCACGCUUAACUUCGGAGUUCUGAUGGGAUCCGGUGCUUUAGUGCUAGUAUGAUCGCAUUCGACAUACCGUGCGUUCUCCUCCCCUUUAUGCCCGCGCCUCCGUGUACGGCCCGCCCAUAGCUCCUUCGACGGCGCCGCCUAGGAACGCGGAGAAAAUAUGACAAAGGAACGGCCAAAAAUAAAAAGAAAGACCUUUCUUUUGAAAAAACAAACAAAUAAAAGGAAUGCAACACGAGGACUUCCCAGGAGGUCACCCAUCCUAGUACUACUCUCGCCCAAGCACGCUUAACUUCGGAGUUCUGAUGGGAUCCGGUGCUUUAGUGCUGGUAUGAUCGCAUCCGACAUACCGUGCGUUCUCCUCCCCUUUAUGCCCGCGCCUCCGUGUACGGCCCGCCCAUAGCUCCUUCGACGGCGCCGCCUAGGAACGCGGAGAAAAUAUGACAAAGGAACGGCCAAAAAUAAAAAGAAAGACCUUUCUUUUGAAAAAACAAACGCCUCCGUGUACGGCCCGCCCAUAGCUCCUUCGACGGCGCCGCCUAGGAACGCGGAGAAAAUAUGACAAAGGAACGGCCAAAAAUAAAAAGAAAGACCUUUCUUUUGAAAAAACAAACAAAAAAAAGGAAUGCAACACGAGGACUUCCCAGGAGGUCACCCAUCCUAGUACUACUCUCGCCCAAGCACGCUUAACUUCGGAGUUCUGAUGGGAUCCGGUGCUUUAGUGCUGGUAUGAUCGCAUCCGACAUACCGUGCGUUCUCCUCCCCUUUAUGCCCGCGCCUCCGUGUACGGCCCGCCCAUAGCUCCUUCGACGGCGCCGCCUAGGAACGCGGAGAAAAUAUGACAAAGGAACGGCCAAAAAUAAAAAGAAAGACCUUUCUUUUGAAAAAACAAACAAAUAAAAGGAAUGCAACACGAGGACUUCCCAGGAGGUCACCCAUCCUAGUACUACUCUCGCCCAAGCACGCUUAACUUCGGAGUUCUGAUGGGAUCCGGUGCUUUAGUGCUGGUAUGAUCGCAUCCGACAUACCGUGCGUUCUCCUCCCCUUUAUGCCCGCGCCUCCGUGUACGGCCCGCCCAUAGCUCCUUCGACGGCGCCGCCUAGGAACGCGGAGAAAAUAUGACAAAGGAACGGCCAAAAAUAAAAAGAAAGACCUUUCUUUUGAAAAAACAAACAAAUAAAAGGAAUGCAACACGAGGACUUCCCAGGAGGUCACCCAUCCUAGUACUACUCUCGCCCAAGCACGCUUAACUUCGGAGUUCUGAUGGGAUCCGGUGCUUUAGUGCUGGUAUGAUCGCAUCCGACAUACCGUGCGUUCUCCUCCCCUUUAUGCCCGCGCCUCCGUGUACGGCCCGCCCAUAGCUCCUUCGACGGCGCCGCCUUGGAACGCGGAGAAAAUAUGACAAAGGAACGGCCAAAAAUAAAAAGAAAGACCUUUCUUUUGAAAAAACAAACAAAUAAAAGGAAUGCAACACGAGGACUUCCCAGGAGGUCACCCAUCCUAGUACUACUCUCGCCCAAGCACGCUUAACUUCGGAGUUCUGAUGGGAUCCGGUGCUUUAGUGCUGGUAUGAUCGCAUCCGACAUACCGUGCGUUCUCCUCCCCUUUAUGCCCGCGCCUCCGUGUACGGCCCGCCCAUAGCUCCUUCGACGGCGCCGCCUAGGAACGCGGAGAAAAUAUGACAAAGGAACGGCCAAAAAUAAAAAGAAAGACCUUUCUUUUGAAAAAACAAACAAAUAAAAGGAAUGCAACACGAGGACUUCCCAGGAGGUCACCCAUCCUAGUACUACUCUCGCCCAAGCACGCUUAACUUCGGAGUUCUGAUGGGAUCCGGUGCUUUAGUGCUGGUAUGAUCGCAUUCGACAUACCGUGCGUUCUCCUCCCCUUUAUGCCCGCGCCUCCGUGUACGGGCCGCCCAUAGCUCCUUCGACGGCGCCGCCUAGGAACGCGGAGAAAAUAUGACAAAGGAACGGCCAAAAAUAAAAAGAAAGACCUGUUCUUUUGAAAAAACAAACUAAAAAAAGGAAUGCAGCACGAGGACUUCCCAGGAGGUCACCCAUCCUAAUACUACUCUCGCCCAAGCACGCUUAACUUCGGAGUUCUGAUGGGAUCCGGAGCUUUAGUGUUGGUAUGAUCGCAUCCGACAUACCGUGCGUUCUCCUCCCCUUUAUGCACCCGCCUCCGUGUACGGCCCGCCCAUAGCUCCUUCGACGGCGCCGCCUAGGAACGCGGAGAAAAUAUGACAAAGGAACGGCCAAAAAUAAAAAGAAAGACCUUUCUUUUGAAAAAACAAACAAAAAAAAGGAAUGCAACACGAGGACUUCCCAGGAGGUCACCCAUCCUAGUACUACUCUCGCCCAAGCACGCUUAACUUCGGAGUUCUGAUGGGAUCCGGUGCUUUAGUGCUGGUAUGAUCGCAUCCGACAUACCGUGCGUUCUCCUCCCCUUUAUGCCCGCGCCUCCGUGUACGGCCCGCCCAUAGCUCCUUCGACGGCGCCGCCUAGGAACGCGGAGAAAAUAUGACAAAGGAACGGCCAAAAAUAAAAAGAAAGACCUUUCUUUUGAAAAAACAAACAAAAAAAAGGAAUGCAACACGAGGACUUCCCAGGAGGUCACCCAUCCUAGUACUACUCUCGCCCAAGCACGCUUAACUUCGGAGUUCUGAUGGGAUCCGGUGCUUUAGUGCUGGUAUGAUCGCAUCCGACAUACCGUGCGUUCUCCUCCCCUUUAUGCCCGCGCCUCCGUGUACGGCCCGCCCAUAGCUCCUUCGACGGCGCCGCCUAGGAACGCGGAGAAAAUAUGACAAAGGAACGGCCAAAAAUAAAAAGAAAGACCUUUCUUUUGAAAAAACAAACAAAUAAAAGGAAUGCAACACGAGGACUUCCCAGGAGGUCACCCAUCCUAGUACUACUCUCGCCCAAGCACGCUUAACUUCGGAGUUCUGAUGGGAUCCGGUGCUUUAGUGCUGGUAUGAUCGCAUCCGACAUACCGUGCGUUCUCCUCCCCUUUAUGCCCGCGCCUCCGUGUACGGCCCGCCCAUAGCUCCUUCGACGGCGCCGCCUAGGAACGCGGAGAAAAUAUGACAAAGGAACGGCCAAAAAUAAAAAGAAAGACCUUUCUUUUGAAAAAACAAACGCCUCCGUGUACGGCCCGCCCAUAGCUCCUUCGACGGCGCCGCCUAGGAACGCGGAGAAAAUAUGACAAAGGAACGGCCAAAAAUAAAAAGAAAGACCUUUCUUUUGAAAAAACAAACAAAAAAAAGGAAUGCAACACGAGGACUUCCCAGGAGGUCACCCAUCCUAGUACUACUCUCGCCCAAGCACGCUUAACUUCGGAGUUCUGAUGGGAUCCGGUGCUUUAGUGCUGGUAUGAUCGCAUCCGACAUACCGAGCGUUCUCCUCCCCUUUAUGCCCGCGCCUCCGUGUACGGCCCGCCCAUAGCUCCUUCGACGGCGCCGCCUAGGAACGCGGAGAAAAUAUGACAAAGGAACGGCCAAAAAUAAAAAGAAAGACCUUUCUUUUGAAAAAACAAACGCCUCCGUGUACGGCCCGCCCAUAGCUCCUUCGACGGCGCCGCCUAGGAACGCGGAGAAAAUAUGACAAAGGAACGGCCAAAAAUAAAAAGAAAGACCUUUCUUUUGAAAAAACAAACAAAAAAAAGGAAUGCAACACGAGGACUUCCCAGGAGGUCACCCAUCCUAGUACUACUCUCGCCCAAGCACGCUUAACUUCGGAGUUCUGAUGGGAUCCGGUGCUUUAGUGCUGGUAUGAUCGCAUCCGACAUACCGUGCGUUCUCCUCCCCUUUAUGCCCGCGCCUCCGUGUACGGCCCGCCCAUAGCUCCUUCGACGGCGCCGCCUAGGAACGCGGAGAAAAUAUGACAAAGGAACGGCCAAAAAUAAAAAGAAAGACCUUUCUUUUGAAAAAACAAACACCUAAAAGGAAUGCAACACGAGGACUUCCCAGGAGGUCACCCGUCAUCGUAGUACUCUCGCCCAAGCACGCUUAGCUUCGGAGUUCUGAUGAGAUCCGGUGCUUUAGUGCUGGUAUGAUCGCAUCCGACAUACCGUGAGUUCUCCUCCCCUUUAUGCCCGUGCCUCCAUGUACCGCCCGCCCAUAGCUCCUUCGACGGGACGCUCCUAGGAACGCGGAGAAAAUAUUACAAAGGAGCGCCCAAAAAUAAAAAGAAAGACCUUUCUUUUGAAAAAACAAACGCCUCCGUGUACGGCCCGCCCAUAGCUCCUUCGACGGCGCCGCCUAGGAACGCGGAGAAAAUAUGACAAAGGAACGGCCAAAAAUAAAAAGAAAGACCUUUCUUUUGAAAAAACAAACAAAAAAAAGGAAUGCAACACGCGGACUUCCCAGGAGGUCACCCAUCCUAGUACUACUCUCGCCCAAGCACGCUUAAGUUCGGAGUUCUGAUGGGAUCCGGUUCUUUAGUGCUGGCAUGCUCGCAUCAGGCAUGCCGCGCGUUCUCCUCCCCGGUAGGCACGCAUCUUAGUGUACGUCUCGCCCAUAGCUCCUUCGUUGGGAGCUCCUAGGAGCUCGGAGAAAAUAUGGCAAAGGAACGGCCAUAAAUAAAAAGAAAGACCUUUCUUCUGAAAAAACAAACGCCUCCGUGUACGGCCCGCCCAUAGCUCCUUCGACGGCGCCGCCUAGGAACGCGGAGAAAAUAUGACAAAGGAACGGCCAAAAAUAAAAAGAAAGACCUUUCUUUUGAAAAAACAAACAAAUAAAAGGAAUGCAACACGAGGACUUCCCAGGAGGUCACCCAUCCUAGUACUACUCUCGCCCAAGCACGCUUAACUUCGGAGUUCUGAUGGGAUCCGGUGCUUUAGUGCUGGUAUGAUCGCAUCCGACAUACCGUGCGUUCUCCUCCCCUUUAUGCCCGCGCCUCCGUGUACGGCCCGCCCAUAGCUCCUUCGACGGCGCCGCCUAGGAACGCGGAGAAGGAGUAUGACAAAGGAACGGCCAAAAAUAAAAAGAAAGACCUUUCUUUUGAAAAAACAAACAAAUAAAAGGAAUGCAACACGAGGACUUCCCAGGAGGUCACCCAUCCUAGUACUACUCUCGCCCAAGCACGCUUAACUUCGGAGUUCUGAUGGGAUCCGGUGCUUUAGUGCUGGUAUGAUCGCAUUCGACAUACCGGGCGUACUCCUCCCCUUUAUGCCCGCGCCUCCGUGUACGGCCCGCCCAUAGCUCCUUCGACGGCGCCGCCUAGGAACGCGGAGAAAAUAUGACAAAGGAACGGCCAAAAAUAAAAAGAAAGACCUUUCUUUUGAAAAAACAAACGAAUCCGAGGAAUGCAAGACGAGGACUUCCCAGGAGGUCACCCAUCCUAGUACUACUCUCGCCCAAGCACGCUUAAGUUCGGAGUUCUGAUGGGAUCCGGUGCUUUAGUGCUGGUAUGAUCGCGUCCGACGUACCGUGCGUUCUCCUCCCCUUGAUGCCCGUGCCUCCGUGUACGGCCCGCCCAUAGCUCCUUCGACGGCGCC
rnacentral:lncRNA from 1 species